UUUCCAAUACCAUUUUUAUCAAAAUGACUUCAUCGUAGCUUAGCCAAAAAAGCAUUAAACUUCCCAUUAAGCCGAAUUACCAUGCUAUAAUGCUUGUUCACCUUCUGUUUUAUCAAAAGCUGGAAAUCUGACUUCCUAUUGUUUUUUUUCUUUUGUCAAUUUUGUUUUUCGAUAGGUUUCCGGAGUUCAAAUUAGCGAUGUGACAUACGAAGACAUACACGGUACAUCAGCAACAGAAGUUGCAGUAAAAUUUGAUUGCAGUCCCAAGCACCCUUGCAGCGAGAUCAAAUUGGAGGAUGUGAAGCUUACUUACAAGAACCAAGCAGCUGAGUCUUCAUGUAGCCAUGCAGAUGGAACAACUGAGGGUGUGGUUCAGCCUACAAGUUGUUUGUAGAGUGGAAAAAUAUGAACUGCUUGUAGAAGUAUUGAAAUCCAAAAGUUUGCCCUCCAGUACUAAGGACAAAUGAAAAGUGAAUUAUACGAUUUAUAUAGGAAGAAUGAGCUUGUGUUGUUGGCAGCCUACUUGGGCUUCCCUUGAGCCUGGCCGUUCAAUUAGUUUAGUUUGUUCAAACUCGUCCACUUCGAUGGGUGUUUAUGUUAUGAAUUGUUGUAAGAUUAUGUUCGGGAUACGUUAAAUUUAUAAGAUUAAAUUUUAUGUUGAUGGCUAAUGUGGCAUUUGACAUAGGAUUCAAUAUUCUAUCAAUUUAAUUCACAAUUUUAUUAUAAUCGAAGCACACAUUAAAUAGUAAAAAUUUGGUUCAAGAAACAAAAGGAUUUGAAGUCUCGCAUGAACUUUUUGGUUGGAGCAUUUUCUCAUGUCAAAUUUUACCCGUUAAAAAUUUAUUAUGAUAUUUUAACAUUUCGGUUGGAGUAUUUUUUUCAUGUCAAAUUUGACCCGUUAAAAAUUUACUAUGGUAUUUUAGCAUUUCGGUUGGAGAUGUAUAAAUCUUAAAAAUGCAUUCAAGAUGCAUUUUUGUUUCUUAAGCUUUGAGCUUUAGGUAAUUAACUUUAAAUGUUGUUGGGCACCUUGCACUAGUUGAUUAAAGAAAAAUAGACCCGAAGCAAGAUUCCUUGUAGUUGCCAAUUCGAAGUUUUCUUUAUCGCUACAUACUUACUGGUCUACAAGUUCUCUCUCUAAUACAUAAUUUGACAUAAAUAAAUACAGUGAAGAGUGCAUUGACUAAACAGAAAAAAAAACAAAAAAAGCAGCACGUAAGCAAUUACGUGCAUUUGGUGUAAAAGCUAAAGGCCUCUGAUUUAUGUAAGCAGUUACGGUAAUCAUAUUAUAUUAUAUGUAUCUUAGUUCUGCAAUUGUAACAGGAAUAAUAUUGUUUUGUUAUCCCCAAUCAAUAAUACAAUGAUACGUGAAAAAGUUAUUUAACAUGUCAUUGCGUUAUUAGCUGGGGAUAGCAAACAGUGCUAUCCCCAUUACAUGAAAGUCUUUCUCCUGCAUAUCCUAUUAUACUAUUAUAAAACUCAAUUGGUCAAUCAUAGUGAAAAAAAUAUAGUGAAAGAAAAAAGAAGAAGAAGAAAAUAUCAAUUAAGCCCCUCUUAUAUUGAACACUUCAAUAAUAAAAUAAAAAUUGCAUAUGGAGUAAAGUCAGUCAGUUAAGAUAGUAUGCUAGUUCUUUUGCACCUGAGUUCAAUUUCCUUCCCCGAACAUUUUCAAAUAAAUAAUAAUAAAAUAAAAUGUGAAUUUGAUAGUCAAUGUCGUAGUAAAAUAUGGUUUUUUAGUAUCAAUAUUAAGGAAAGCCAUUGUUCUUUCUAGCAGAAUGCCCGCCACUGCUAGAGAGAGAGAGAGAGAGAGAGCGGAAUGGCAGAAGUGAGUAACAAGCAGGUGAUACCGAGGGAGUAUGUCACUGGCUUUCCCAAAGAGUCAGACUUGUACGUGAAUAGCACUGCUACUAUCAAGUUGAAGCUUUCUGAGGCCCCCGAGCAUGAGGGUUCUUCAAAGAAACUAGUUCUAGUGAAGAAUCUUUACUUGUCCUGCGAUCCCUACCAACGACUAUUUAUGGAAAGAAUCGAAGGCCUCAGCAGCCAAUCCACUUCCUCCUAUACGCCUGGUUCUGUAAGCAAAACCCAUCAUAUAUCUUUUCCUUUCAAUUUCUGUAAACAUAUAUACCAAAUGUUAUGCUCAAAUAUAUAUUAAUUGUUAAACAUUGUUCCCUUAAAAAAAACAAUUUAUUGCAAAAUUGGAAUAUACAAGAGGUAACUCUGCACAAAUAUUAAUGACAAGAUGAGGUGGCUAAAAGCACUGUUAAUGUCUAUCAGCGCGCAAUGAGCACGAAUAACUGUGAUUAUUAAGUAGUAGGAGCUGAUAGUUGUUUUUGUUACCACAUCCUAUGCCACAAAUAUUAAUUAUUACCAAUUAUUCUUCUAGUAAUGCUUGUUUUUUUGUUGAUGGCAACAUUGGGAGGAGGGAAUCAAAUACAAGUUUGAUCAUAUGAUUAAUUUAAUUUUGUUGGUGUAAACGUGCAGCCAAUAUACGGGUAUGGAGUGGCUAAAGUUUUGGACUCUGGGCACCCAGAUUUGAAGGCAGGUGACUUAGUUUGGGGGACUACCUAUUGGGAAGAGUACAGCCGAAUCCCUGAACCCGAAGGCCUGAUCAAAAUCCAGCACACUGAUGUACCUCUAUCCUAUUAUACUGGAAUUCUUGGUAACAAGUCAAACCUAUUUUAGAUCAUGAUGAUAUGUGUUGGUUUAGAUACGUAAGUGUAUUUUUUGUAAUUUCAUUUCAGGUAUGCCUGGUUUGACCGCUUAUGUUGGUUUCUAUGAAAUUUGUUCUCCUAAGAAAGGAGAACAUGUCUUCAUUUCAGCAGCAGCUGGUGCUGUUGGUCAGCUUGUUGGACAAUUUGCAAAAUUAAUGGGUUGUUAUGUUGUUGGAAGUGCUGGCAGUAAGGAAAAGGUACGAACUUGAGAAAUCUUUGAACUUCAAAUUAAUAUUAUCUACACCAUUUUUUCUUGUUUGGGUUGUAUUUUGCUGUUGUUAUUUGGGCCAACUUUGGUGUUGGUUUGGUUUGGGGCCUCUGUUUGUGCGCUGGGACUACAAUGAGUGGAAAGUUAUAAGGGGUAAGUUAUAAGGGGUUCACUUUAUAGCCAUCAGAUCAAUCCAAGGGCUGGGGAGAAUUGAGAUAAAGUUUCACAAUUGGGUAGGUGAGGAACCCAAACCCGAAUUGAAUAUCCAGCACGUCCAAAAAGAAGAAGAAGAGGGAAACACGUUCGAAAAAGAAGAAGAAGAGGCAAGUUCGAAGUUUGAACAGAAAGAACUCAUCUCUCUAAAACCCAGAGGUCUGAGAUACCCAAUGAAGGCAACGGCUAACGACAGUUGAAGGCAACGAUUCGCCACUCCGUUCUCCAGACCCUGAAAAAGUAUUUAUUUGGAGUAGAAGGGGCAAAGGUGUGGAUUCCAAAUCAAUGAAGGGGCGAAGCAGUGGAAGGGGAAGGGGAGAAGCUAUAAUCGUUGGAAGUGGUAGGUUCCAUUUGUGGAGCAAAGAAACAGAAAGACCCCACACAGACACCUUGCAAUAACCAGCAUUUGGUGAGUAAUUUAUGGAAUUUGAGUUUAGGGUUAGAGUAAUGGUUUUCCUCAAUUUGUAGCAUAAAUUUUGUUGGAUUUGGCAUCUCUUCGUUGUGCUUGAGUUGCAUGUUAAUUUUUGCUUAGGUAUAUGUUAAAAAAAGAAUGAAAAUCAAGUCAAUAACAAGUGAAUAACAUGUCAAUAAUGAUAUGAAUAAGAUAAUGGUGUUGAAUUGGAGGAGGCCCUCAAAACCUUCCACAUUUGAAGCAGUGCAUAGUGCAGAUUAAGAAGAGGCGGUAGAAUAUAUAUAUAUAUAUAUAUAUAUAUAUUUUAUGAAGUAAAUAUGAUUUCCUUUGUUACUAAAUUUGCCUGAGAAACAUUUGAACAGAUAAUAAUAAACUCAUGAAUAGAAGUGCAAAGCAUUUGAUGAGUAAUUUAAGGAAUUUGAGUUUAGGGUUAGAGUAAUGGUUUUCCCCAAUUUGUACCAUCAAUGUUGUUGGAUUUGGCAUCUCUUAUUUGUGCUUCAAUUGCAUGUUAAUUUUUGCUUGGGUAUAUGUUAAAAAACGAAUGAAAAUAGAGUCAAUCACAUGUCAAUAACAUCUCAAUAACAUGUCAAUAACAUGUUAGUAAUGAUAUGAAUAAGAUAAUGGUGUUAAAUUGGAGGAGGCGCUCAAAACCUUCCACAUUUGAAGCAGUGCAGAGUGAAGAGUACCUCUCUGGCCCUAGAAUUUAUAUAUUUUGUGAAAUAAAUAUGAUUUCAUUUGUUACUAAAUUUGCCUAUGAGAAAUGAGAACAGAUAAUAAUAAACUCAUGAAUAAAAGUGCAAAGCAUUUGAAAUGAAGGUUGAUCUAUGACGAUUGUGGGUGACUGAAGAAAAAGCUAGAAAGAAAGAAGGAUGUGGCAAUUGCUUAGCAAGCAGAUAGCAGAGUAGAUGCUUUGCUUUGCUUCCUUCCACUAUAUUUCUUAUUUAUUUAUUUUGUGUUGUGUAUGAGAUGACAAUAAUUGUCAUGUGUGUGAAGUGCAGAACUUGCCUACAUUGCACUCACACGAGUAUGGAUCCAUAAAUAAAACACGUGAAAUUGUUUGUAAUUCACAUAAUCAUUGCAUUAACAGGUAUUUGCACAAAAUUUGUCAUAUUGCUUUGAUGAUGUUAAAGCCUAUGAUCAGUAAUCCGUAUGCUCAUGUACUUUGUAAAAUUUGUAAUGUGCCUGGUUGACUAGUUGUGAUUGUGCAAAUACGUGGCAGUAUAUGUGUUCACGUUAUUUCACAUUGUAUUUGAGGAAAUGGGAUCCAACGUGGAGCUGGUAUGGCCAGAGGCAGAGGCAUAUUCGUCACGGGUGAACAACUGCUCACAUGCAAAUUCAUCUCUAGCUGCAAUUCGAGCGAAGUUGAGUGCGGAACAAUUAGAACAAUUCAAGACAUCAUGCUUUGGCCAUCUUCUGAAUAUAGAUAAGAUUCAGUUUAGCGGGCAGAUUGUGCAUGGGGCUGUGUUGCGUAGAGUAGCGGGGCAGGGUGUGAAAGACUUGGAUGGACUGAGUUUCUUAUUAGGGUGUGACGUUGCUCAGUUCACUCGUCAGGAUUUCUGUUUGAUCACAGGGCUUCGUUUUGGGGAAGUGCCUGAAGUUUCCAGUGGAGAGAGUGAUGUAAUCAGACUUCAGAAAAGAUAUUUUAUAGACGAAGGAAUUACAUGCAAUGCUUUAGAAGAAGCAUUUAUGGGGUGCACAGAGGAAGAUGACAUCUACAAGCUAGCUCUUGUUUACUUUGCUGAGUUAGUGGUUUUGGGAAGGGACAAACAUUUGAACAUCAAUCUAAAUUACCUGACCCUUGUAGAGGACUUGGAUGCGUUCAACAGGUAUCCGUGGGGUUCGGUGUCCUUUGACAAAACCCAAGACAGUCUAUUUUCUGCACCAACAAAGUAUGUGAAAAGCUUGCAAAAUGAAGAGGGAAGAGGGAAGGGGAAAAGUAAGGUAACGGGAACAAGCCGGAGAAAUGAGAAGGGCAGGAAGGAUAAGCAUGGUGAAGCGCAAAGGAGUGGCUGGAGUUUUAAAGGUUUCACGUAUGCUUUCCAGGUACAUGGUAAUAAUGUUCAUGUGAGUUAUGUUUUGUUUUUCUUUAAAACAUAAAUAAUGACUUUUGUCCUGUGAAUUGUGUAGAUUUGGGUAUAUGAAUUAAUUCCUAGAAUGGCGGACCUGAAUUACUGCAAGGUUGUUGAUCCGACCGCUGUCCCGCGUAUUUUGCGAUGGAGAACUACUACGUCUGUUCCAGAGAUGAGAAAGUUGAACAAUUAUUUUUUCCAGAGCAAAGAGGUUUGGUUUGCAGCCCUUGGAACUAUUGAUAAGAUUGAAUGAAAUUUUGAAGUAGAAUGAUUUAAUAUGACUGUGGUUUGUAUUCUGAAACAGUCAGUUCAGUUGCGGGCGCUAUGUCCGAGUGAAGAGGAAAUGAGACAGCCAUAUUGGAGUUGGCCACAGGAUCGCCCUGAUGAGACAGCCAUAUUGGAGUUGGCCACAGGAUCGCCCUGCUGUUGUCUCGGCAGAGUCAAUUCCUUCUUUAUGUGGUGAUCUUGAUCAGUUGAACAAGGUGGUAAGCUUGUUGAGGUCCGAGUUGUUUCAAGUAAAGCGGGAAAAAGACGUCCUUCACUUAAAGGUCAUACGGAUGGAAAAACUGUUGGACCAAUGUUUAGGUCCUCAGUUUGAGCAGGAAGUAAGGAGGGACCUAGCUUUACUGAAACAGAGGACGAAGCGUUGUGUCGUCUCACAUCUAUUUAGGGGAUAUCGGGAAUUGGAUGACAUUCAAUGGGAUGAAGGGCCAAGUAACAGAAAUGAGGGAGAGGAAAAGGAAGAUGAAGGGAUUGAAGGGGGUGAAGGGCCAAGUAAUAGAAAUGAGGGAGAGGAAAAGGAAGAGGAGGGGAUUGAAGGAGAGGAAAAGGAAGAGGAGGGGAUUGAAGGGGGUGAAGUGCAAGGAAUACCAAGUGAGGUAGAGGAAGGGCAAAGGAAAAGAAGUGAAGGAGAGCAAGUGCAAGUAAAAAGUAGCAAAGGAGAGGAAGCCCAAAGACAGAGCAGUGAGGGAGAGGAAGUGAAAAGAAAAAGCAGUAAGGGAGAGAAACUGCAAAGGAAAAAAAGGGAGGGCAAGGAAGUGAAAACACAAAGAAGUGAGGAAAAGGAAGUGCAAAGAAACCAAUGUGAGAAAGAAGAUAAUGAAGUUAUGUUGCUUGGGGAUGACAUUGGCGAGAGCACGGAGGGGACACUGCUUGAGUUUACUGUCGGGGACAUUGAUUUGGAUCAACCUACAGCUGUGCUAUCUCAGUUGAACGUGUGGUUGAAUGAUAAAGGUAAAGCUGUGGCACAAGGGGUCCAAUUACGGAAAAGGAAGAGGAUCAUUCCUAUGUGGAAGAUCAUUGAAGGCAUUGAAUUGGUUCCAAAAACUGGGGCACAGACAACCGGACUGAAGAUGUUAGACCCAAUGAAGGCGAUUCCGCAUGAUGAUCUGGUGAAUUUGCUGAAACUUUGUUGGGAAUGGCGCCAGGACCCAAAGUAAGUCCCUUGCAAUUAUAAGAUAGAAGCACGACUGUAUAUAAUUUUUAAUAUACAGUGUUCUAAAACUGUUUUAUAUUCAUAGUUUAGUGAUGCAAUUUGGCAACGUGGAAGCUGAGAUUGAAUUCUUCGCUUCCCUCGUGAAAGCUGAUGGUUGGCUGAAAGGAGAUGUAAGUGUAAUUGAUUAUGCAUUUGUUUUAAUGUAUAUAGAUUAUGAGAUUGACAAGAACAACAUGUUGCAGCACAUUGAGUUGGGGUUGUAUCUCAUCCGGAAGCGACAACAACAGUUUGAGGAAGUAGAAAUAGCGGACUGGACAACGACAGAUGUUUUUUUUAUGGUAUGUCAUCGGCCUUGACCAAGUGCCGUUAAUAAUUACACAUUUUCCAUACAGACAAUAGUGGAGGUGUUUAACCAUUGAUUGUUUUGUAUUUCACAGAAUCACAUUCGAACUUGCUUUGCGGAUAAUAAAAGAAAAAAACAGCAGCUUGGGUGGAAAAUCAGAAAAAGUUUACUAAACGUUGUAAAUGGGAAGGUUCCUCCGUGUGGGAUGGAUUGGCAGAACGUCUAUACGGUGUAUACCCCAGUUAUGUUGACGAAGUACAAGCAUUGGGUGGCUGUAAUGAUUGAUCUGGUAUUGUGUGAAAUCAAAGUGUACGAUUCAAAGGUUUCACUAAUUCCAGAUGACAUCGUAAAGGAAGAACUCGCCCCGCUAUCAAUUAUGCUUCCAAAUCUUCUCAACACCAUCGACUUUUAUGAAGAAGGUGUUUAUGCAAACAAUUGCAUGCGAGAUUGGUGGUGUCCGUGGCCAAUAGAGCGUGUGGAUGUUCCACAACAGUCUAAUGAGUAAGCACAACUUGCAAUUUAAUUUUAUUACUUUCAAUUGUCAAUUACGUUAGAAUGUCAUUAGUUGAAUUGAUCGAGUUCUUGUUUUGCUUCAGAGGCGAUUGUGGCAUGUUUGUGUUAAAGUACAUUGAGCUUAUCAGCGCUCAGCUUUCGUUAGCUAUUUGCACCUCGCACAACAUGCCUUUUUUUCGGUUGAAAUUGGCUGCGGAGAUAACAAGGGGAGAUGCUUACUUCCCAUGAUAUUGGUUGAAGAUGACAAAUGGUACAUGAGAAGGUUUUGGGAAUGUCCAUUCUCAAACUAAUGUAAAUACACAAUAGAGACGUACGUGUCCUUUUCGAAUUCUACCGCUAACUCCUUCAUGACAUUUACAUGUUUGUUAACCAAACUGCAUUGAAUUGGAAUUUUAAGACUGCAUAUGUUAAUUGGGAUUUGAAGAUGGCUUUUUAAGUGUAUUACACCAUUGCAAAGUGAUAUGUCAUUGUUGAUGCAAGCCACCAUUAUUCGCAAUGAGUUGCAUCAUAAUAGGUGUGUAAACAUGCGAAAGGUUUUCGGCAGCUCAGUAGCAUAAAAGUAGAAACAAUUACAAUAUACACAAAAUGAACAACAAUUCACUUGCGUUUGGACAAGCAAUACAGACACAACAGACAAACAAUAUACACAAAAUUGGCCUGCCAUAUACAGACAUACACACAGUAGACAUGCAAUAUACACACAGUAGACAUGCAAUAUACACACAAUAGACAUGCAAUAUACACACAAUACACAUGCAAUAUACACACAAUACUCCCUUAACACACACAAUAGACAUGCCCUUGCCCACAAUAAUGAUGCAAUAUACUUCAGUCCCCAAGUACACCAACCAUAAGGAAGUCGUAUUGAAUAGGAUAUUAAACUUAACAGUUGUUCUUCCUACUAAAAGAAAGAAUAACGUCCGUUUCCCCCCUUCAUUCUUACUUCAGUGAUACUUGUGGCCCCAAUAAACAUCCAAUAUUGGGUCAAGGAUAUUCCAUAUACAUGCAGCAAACUAUCAAUAAACCUUCAAUAAACAUUCAAUAUCGGUUCUAUAACAUGCGAAAUACAUGCAGUUAACAAAUAUUACAAAAUGGGUUUAGGGUCUCAUUGGUGGUGCGUGCAACAUGUCUUGUGCGGAAGAACUUUCACAAUCUUUGAAACCAUGCAGUUAAAUGAUCCUUAAAAGAACAAAUAAAAUGACAAUUGAUACAACUAAUAAAACUAAUACCAAGUCCUUAAUGGACUUCAGCAUGUUCAGCACUCUAGCAUCAUACGUGUCAUCUUGAUGUUCUGCUUCAGCGGAGGUUACAUCAACCCAUUCGAAUCCAUUGCAACUGGUGGCUCCCUAAUUGCAGGCAUCAUAUAUGGAAUAUAAUUCUGUUAGAGUUAGACAUGGGUUUAUUUUGACCCACAUACAUAUUAUUGAAAUUAAAACUUACAUAGGAGGUUAGACACUUCCAGAAUGGCUUCCCUCGAUUUUUGUCAGAUUUUGAAACCCGAAGCACCAUUGUAGCUCCACAAUACUGACACCUCUUUGUUUGAGCAGGAGAUGAAGACGAAGACAUGUUGAAUCUUCUCAGUUGUACCUCUUCUCACUCAGAUCUUCUCACUGAAACCUCUUCGGACUCAUACCUUCUCACUCAUCGUUGUCAUUCAUACCCCUUCACUCAUAACCCUAAACUUGUCACUCAGCUCUCUCUCAUCUCUGCCCAAAUCGAGUUAUAUUUCUUUUUUUUGGGAUCAUUUGGUGGGUUGGUCACGAUCUCGACACCCGUACCGUCGGCAUUGCGACAUCUUUUAGCCCGAAAAGCAAUAUAAACUACUUCACUACCAAAUAUAUUUUCUGAAAAAUGAGGGGACACUGCUUCAAAUUUAUUAUUUUAUAUAUAUUUCAUUAAGGCAACUAGUUGGAUAAGAAUCCGUCAUUAUUGGUUCCAUUUGAAUAACAUUACUAGGGGUAGUUGGGUGUGGGAAAAUGAAAAAGUAUAUGAUGGGACCUUCUGUCACUACUCAGUAAUCCAUCACAUUUGUAUCAAUGAAUUUGAUAGUGGGAUAAUCCCACAAAUGGCUAUGCAAAUAGCCAUUUAAUGAACUUUUUGACUGUCUGACUCUGUAUGCACCGUUAUGACGUUUUCCCUUCUUUUGUCUUCAGUUUUAAUUCACUUGGGUUCAGUUUCUUUAAAAAUGGUCAACUUGGAAAAACCCCAACUGGAAACACCUUUUCAAAACACUAUAAACAGAGGCUAAAACAAAACGUGUACCCCAAAUAUUCUCAUUUAUCCCCUCUGCCACUCCUCAAAUCGUUCCAUUCCAAAAACUUUUCAAUGAAUUCGAAACACUUCACUACAGUCGGAGGAAAGAGAAGGAAGCAUCUCCAUUUCGAUAUGCCCGAAGCCUUCAUCCCGGAGUCCGCUUGGUUUCAAGUGAUGUUAUACGUGGCAACCGAAUCAUCGGAAGAUCUCUUCCGUAUGGCAUCUGUGUGCCCAUUGUUCCAAACUUUGGCAAACAGUCCACAAGUGUGGAACACCAUUUCAAUGGCAAAGUACCCACACCAUCCUAGCUGGUACCGUGCCAGACCUGCGGUCCAGCAUUUCUUGCAACAAUGCAGGGCUUGCGAUAACCCUGAGUCGAUAUUUAGAGAAGCAUUCGAUAUUUUUUUCAGGGCCAGUAAGGUGGAAGCGUUGUAUGGGAUGCGCAUUGCAGCCACGGCAGGCCAUAUGGAAGCGGCAUAUGUAGUUGGACUACUUGGUAUAUCCGGAAUUGGUCAGUCAAAAGAGGAUGCAUUACAAUUCUUGUGUUCUUUGAAUCAACGUAACAACAUUGAUAUGAAAGGAACCAGGGAUGCUUUGACACGAAGAUUAACCGGACCAAGAGUUGCAAGACAUAUCGUAGAUAUAUUUGACUAUGGGAAGAUUAAGUUCAAUCGCUGCAGCACUUGUAACAACAAUGAAUGGUAUUUUGUUAUUCAAGGCUGGCCUAGUGAAGACAAGAUAAAUCCUGCCUUCUAGACUUGUUGCAAUCGAUGCAAAUGGCACCGUGAGAGUAUUUUUUGGUUCAAACUGAUGCGUGAGUAUGUUGUGCGAGGGAAUCAUGUAUUUUUGCAUUAGUUUUAGUACGAAUUUACGGUUUUGAUGCAUUGUGGACUUACUUCUCUUCACUUCUAGGUUGGCUGGCUACGUUGUACAAAUGUUGUUUAAAUGUUGUUUAAAUGUUGGUAUUUUGUCAUAAACCGUUUUAUAUAUAAAUGUAUAAUAUUUAUUAUAUAGCGGAAUUAUUACUUACAUCAUAGACGGCUACGAAUGACAUUUUACUGACACAGAUAUUUUGCUCACCCACCCCAAUAUUCAUAUUUGGUAAACGAAAAGUCAUGCAUGGAGUAAAUAGGUGUCUUUUCACCAAUGCUUGGGAAUGACAUUUUCCCACUUAGCAUAUUCGACAGGAUUUGGUUACACGUUUCUUAAGCAAAAGUUGAACAGUGAAUGACGUUGAAUAAUUUGUUUGUGUGGAAGGAGUACAAUGGAUGACUUGUAUAUUUCCAUAUUAUGUUUGAAAACAUCCCUUCAACCUAAAAAAUAAAAAAAUUAACAAAUUGAAGAACAGAGAAACCGAUGAGCACUACAAAUGGCCUAUUCGCACGGAAAAUAAAAUUGUUUUAAACAAGUUGGACUAAAUAUAAUUAACAAAUGGACAGCCUAAAAAGUAAUAUCAUAAUAAUUAUAAUAAUUGUGGAUUAAUAAUAAUAAAAUACUAAUGUAGCAUAACCAUGAAACAGGGAAUUCAGUAGGAAGAUGAAAUCUCAAUAAGUUCGUUGAAAUGUUCGGAUCGUUUUUCUAAUUUUUGUGUAUUUAGUUCUGAAUUUUCCAAGAAAAAAAGUAAUUAAAUAAUAAUUUAGGGUAAAAUGGGAUGAUGUGGCCAUGUUGACUGACGUACACUUGUGCAAGUACUCAUAAGUGAGGGGCUGAGAUCGCGCCAGGUGUCUUCUUGGAAUUAGGGUUGGCUAUUUUAGUGGAAAAAUCCUUGAAAAUAGGUAAAAAAUAGUAGGAAAUUCCUAUUCUAGGUUGGGAAAAUUACCCGCGCCUCCUUGUGACGUCAUAAAACUAGGAGAACCUAUAAAUCAUCCGUCUCGCAAUGAAAUAAUCCAAAAUGUUUUACAUAACUCACUUCCCUCUUUACCCUAAGUAUUGAUGUUUGUUAACUUGAACUUCAAUAACCUACUUCAACAAGCAUCUCCCGUUAAUGUUGGGAAUAAUUGUCUAAAAUGCGUAACAAUGAAUCGGAGAAUUCAGCAAGGGAGAUGGAGUGUCAAUGAGUUCGUAGCAAUUUUCGGAAAUAAUUUUGAAUUUUUGUGUAUUUAGUUAUGAAUUUUGUAAGACAAAGUAAUAAAAUAAUAAUUUAGGGUAAAAUGGGAGGAUGUGGCCAUGUUGACUGACGUACACUUGUGCAAGUAGUCAAAAGUGCCGGGCUGAGAUCGCGCCAGGUGUCAUCUUCUUUUCAAUUUUGGAUUCUUUUGUUAAAAAAUCUUUGAAACUAAGUAAUAAAUAGUAGGAAAAUCCUAAAAAUGCCCCCAAAAUUACUCCGGCCUACUUGUGACGUCAUAAAACUAGGAGAACCUAUAAAUCAUUCGUCUCGCAAUGAAAUAAUCCAAAUUGUUUUACAUAACUCACUUUCCUCUUAACCCUAAGUAUUGAUGUUUGUUAACUUAAACUUGAAUAACCUACUUCAACAAGCAUCUCCCGUUGAUGUUCGGAAUUAUUUUUAAAAAUGCGUAACAAUGAAUCGGAGAAUUCAGCAAGGGAGAUGGAGUGUGAAUGAGUUCGUAGCAAUUUUCGGAUAAUUUUUUUAAUUUUUGUGUAAUUAGUUCUGAUUUUUGUAAGGAAAAGUAAUAAAAUAAUAAUUUAGGGUAAAAAGGGAGGAUGUGGCCAUAUUGACUGACGUACACUUGUGCAAGUAGUCAUAAGUGACGGGCUGAGAUCGCGCCAGGUGUCCUCUUGCUAUUAUUUUGGCUUUUUUAGUGCAACAAUCUGUGGACAUAGGUAAUAAAUUCUACGAAAAUCCAAAAAAUGCCCGGAAAAUGAGAAAAUGAAAAUUAUUUGUACAUAACUCACUUUCCUCUUAACCCUAAUUCACGUGUAACACGUAUAUUUCGGAUAAUAUUCGAUAUAUAAUUUGUAAUAAUACAAUAUUUAGUUUCACUAUAUACAAUAAUAUGUUUUGUUAUAAUAAUGUACAUAAAUAAUAAUUGCACAUGCUUUGAAGCCAUCAUUGCAACUACGCCUAGAGCUUUCAAGACGUCAGUUCGUAUUCAAUAAGUUGUCCACAUGCAAGUGCACCUACAGUUUUCAACACGUCAGAGGUAUUCAAUAAGUUGUCCACAUGCAACUGCACCUAGAGUUAUUAACACGUCAGAGGUAUUCAAUAAGUUGUCCAUAUGACGCCGCAUUGGGAAUCAGUAAUAUAUUUUCAAUCAUGUCCAAUCACAUAAAAUAAUGGCAUACUUUUUCUCAAUAACCUCACACAAGUGAAGCAAUUUUAAAACCCUUACUGAAUAUUUGUCCUAGUCUAUAUGAGUGAUUAUAUAAUCAGUCUGCAUUUUUUUCACAGUAUAUGUUAACUUUGAGAGGGAUUCCACAAACAUAAAAUAUAAAGAAAGCAAGAAAUAGUAGGAGAUGAACCAGUAGAAAAAACAAUAUAUAAAUGGUACAUAAUAAUUCCAUAACCUUGUCACAAACGCACUCACAAAAGCUUUUCCAUAAACCUUGUCCUAACAUAUAAUAAAUAAAGGCAACAUUGCAUAUGAUGCAACCAUGUCCAAAUCUGAUACGUGAUCAAAAACAAAUGGACAUGGCAGCAACAUAUGACUGAAGUAGAUGGGCUCUUUGCAUCUUGUGUUUUCGUAAUUAAAGACAUCAAAAUAUUAAGGUUUAAAUCUUCCAUAGUAGUUAGCAUCAAAAUAGCUUUGAAGCAGAGUGUAAAGAAAAUUCCAAUUCCACUGAUUUGCCUCUGCUCAAACACGAGAACCAAAAUGGUUACUUCCCUUGCUGAGUAUAUUUGGUGACGUCGGAAACGGUAAUAGAUGAUCAAUCAAACCCAGGUACGACGAGUUUUGCAUAGGAUCGGAAGUAGUCGAAUCCAGCUUGCAUCACACGCUUCUUUGACUCCACUGCAUUAGAUGAGUUCUUGUAUUUUUGAACAGCUACACUCCGAAGUCGUUUGUGUCUACGCUUCAUGCGCUGCAACUUCACCCUAUCCAGAUUGGCCUGCCUUUUGUCAUCUUCAAUUUGGCCUUCAACAAAUUCCAAACGUGCCCUUGCCCUUUGGAUUUCAUCACCAAGUUGAAGAUGCCUCUCCUUCCAAAAAGCAACAACUCUUUCAGACUCAAAACUUCCAACAAAAUGGUCAUUCUGUCUAGGAAUGUGACAUUGCUUGUCUGGUGACUCACUUGCGUGUCGAAGGCGGUCUUUGUUUGGAGGGGUGUUUAUUAUGCUCACAUCAAACUUGGUUAGUAAAUCCAUUCUUUGGGGGGAAUGAGUUUGUUUGCUUGAGAGAGUAUCAGUAGAUGGAGACAGAUUCGGUGGAGGAGUGAGUUUUGUGUGGAAGGAGAAUUUAUAUGAAAGGGGUGAUAGUAAUACCAAGAAAAGGGUUCCCGCCAAAAAAUAUUUGGUUGAGAAUGUAUAAAUUAAUUUUUGGUCUGAUACAAUCUAAGUUGAAUCCUAACUAGUUUGGUUGAGUUAACUAAGUAGAUGUCACUUCCAUUGAGUUUCUUUCAACCACUAUCAGUGGUGUCAGGAGAGUGUGAGGUUGACAUGCUUGAAAAGCAAAACCUGACACCUAUUUUUAAAAAAUUCCAUAAAAAAAGUACAUAUGUUGACUACACACAAGCUUUGGUAUGUUGGUCUAUAAACCUAUGUUCCCUUUCUCAAACGAAAUUGCAUAUGCAAUCCUCAUCCUCCCAAAACAAAGAGGAUUAUUCAAGCAUGUCAACCUCUUCAGGCGCCAACAACACAAUCGAAGAUGACAAAUUGGAGUCGCAGGUUCUAUUUCCACAUUGUACUCGCCGACCCCUUCCUUUUUCAACAUCAUUUGGGAGUGAGGGGGACUCCGAUGAUCCAUUAGAGGCAAUACAUGCAGUCAGUGGCAAGCUGGAUUAUAAUUCCAGACUGAUCAAUUCAUGGCACGAGAAAUGUGUUGAAGACGAGGCAAUUUUGGCUGAUCUUAACAUUAGAGUGAACAAAGCGUUCUCCCAAAAGAACAAGUACUUGAAGCUGAGUCAUAGCAGGAAGCUGAAAGCUGAGGAGUUGGAUACAGUAAUGAAUGAUGAAAUGAAAGGUUGUUUGCUGAACCACAUGCGAUGCGAAGAGCACCAUAGUGAACUGGAGUUGGCAUUCAACGAAGGAUUCGACAAAUUUCGAGCAUUUGCGGCAACUACUCAUACAAGUUAUGAUUGGAACUAUGUGUCCCCUGAUGCUGUGAGAGAGAUACUAGACGAUGGGGGUGACAUGAAUGAGCAUAAGCACGUCAAAGCUGCUCGGAAGAAGCCGACCGAUACGACUAAGUGAUUGCGGCUACCGCUGUUCAGUUGGUUGAGGGUGACCGUGGUAUUGCACAUAUACUCCCUUAAUGUCAUUAUCUAAUUUCAAAUAACACAAAUAUCAGUUUCAUUUGCUUCAUAUAUAAUUAUUGGGACUAUGUAUUGCAAGUCAUCAUGUGUUAUAAUGUCUAACAUUAUAUUUUGCAAAUAUGGAAAUAUUAUUCAAUAAGCAGUCAAUAUCACAGCAAGCCGGGAAUCAGUAAAUGCUCCUUAUCAUGUCCAUUUACAUUAAAGAGCUGGCGUACUAAUGUGUUCAAAAAAAACUGAGACGUGAGUCAUAAGUAACAUAACAUGUGCUAUACAUUGUUUACUGAAUGGUUUAUGGUUUAUUUUUAUAUAAUAAAAUUCCAAAUAUUGCUGAAGAUUUAUUUCGUCUAUAUGACUAGGGAUAUGAGUGGCCAUAAGCAUGUGAGACCUGCUAAGAAGAAGCUGACGAGUACGACCGAGUGAUUGUGGCUACCGUUGUUCAGUUGGUUGGGGAGAUCGUGGUAUUGCUAAGAGGGAGCACAUAAUAUGUUUUGCAAUCAAAUGUUCUUUUGUGUGUGGAAUUAUGAGUAUUUAUGUAAGUUAGUGUACCCUUUAAUAUUUUUCACCUAAGUAUCGAAAUGUAAUUAGCUGCAAUGUUAUGUUUCAUUUUUACACGCUGCUUUCUAUUUGCUCUGUUCCAACAAAGUGCUUCAAGUAUCCUUCAGUUACAAAAGUGUACAAAAUCGUGCCCCUAAUAACCAGUCGUCAAAAGUGGCUACUGCUGGAAAUGAUUACUGGUAAUGGAAACAACAGCUGGCUGCUGGAAAUGCUGCAUUAGCCUGAGGAUUUGAAAAAUGAAUCUCUGUUAAAACAUAAUUCACCCUAAACUGCCCAUUUUACAUGGUAAAGGUCAUUGCUUCUUCACAUAACUACAAAUUUCAUACUUGAUCAAAUGUCUAUGAAAAUUUAUAAAUAGGGAGAAGACGUAAAAUUAACAUGUCUCCAAAUUUCAUGGAAGAAUGAAACCAAGGAAAUUUUCAUUUCAAUUACCAGUGGACAUAGUAAGAGCUCAUCGGUGGACAUGAACAAAAACACAAUAAUAUUCAAAAACUGAAUCUAUAAAACUUCACCUGAUCAUUAAUCUUCAUAACAACCACAUUUCGUCUAAUACAAAUAUAAAUCAUUUAGUUGGUCCGUGCAUCCUGUCAAAAUCGUCGAAUAAUGGGUCACUACGAUGUAUUGGAGUUGAUUCGUCAUUGUUCGACGGUGAUGUCCUGCAUAAACAUCAAACACAAGCACAUAAAAAUUUUACCUUUUCAUAUUUUAGAUGUUAUUACAACUAGUGUUAGCAUCUUACGGUGUGUUCAAGGCUGGGCAUUGUCUUCUAUCAUGACCAAUGUGUCCACACUCCCGACAGUGUCUAAUCCCUCGCUUCAUUGCCUUUUCCUUUGCUCCCGUUACUCCUUUCGACCUUCCUUUGCACCUCACUCUCUUAGGGUCUUUCAUAUAUUGUGUUUGAGAGCUGGACCCUCCAACUUCGUUAUUACUUAGUCCAUCCUUCAGCAACUUUAACUUCACCUGCAAACUUUUUAGAGUCUCUGACAGUAGCUCACAUCCUUCUUCACUCAUUAAUGCAUCCUCAACCACAUCUGAAGCAAGUCGAGACAUUGUACUCCGCUUUAUUAGAAGGCCAGGAUCUGCACAGUCUUUAAUUUCGUUGCCAUUUGCAUCUGACACCAUUCCAGAUUUCGCAGUUUUCUUCCACCUCUUCAAAAUAUAUUUAUCGGGCAUAUAUUCAAUCUGGUCCCUUCUGAACAAUGCUAGGAUGUGCUUGCAAAUAAUUCCAACAAAUUCAAAUCUUUUGCAGCUACACGAUGCGUGGUCAGAAUCUUUGACAUAUACGACUUCUGCCACUCUUGUUUCCCAAUUUUUCCUUUCGCUCACGUUAAAGACAACUUUACAAGCAUCCUCUGUUUUGAGCUCUAGGAAACAUGCUGUACUUUGUAUUAGUUCUUGCUCAAACUUUUGAAACAUUGUCCUUGUGUACAAGGUAGCCAUUUGUUUGUUCAUUGGCAUCGGUAGAAGACAUUGAGCCACUUCAAAUGCAUCUACGUGAUCAGCAACUAACUCUUUUUCACGUUGAUGAGAAAGUGCCCUCUCAAAUCGUAUUAUGAAAUCCAUCAACGAAUUUCUCCUUGAUAUGUAUUGCUUGAAAAAACCAUGAGAACCUUCCGCUCUUUGGCUGCUUGACAUUCCAGCGGCAAAAAAUUGUCGUGCGUAGGCUGGAACCCAAGAUUCCCUUAAAUCAAACAUUGAACUUAGCCAUGGAUGGUCGGUCAAACCAGCCUUUGUAACCACAAUAUUCCAUUUUGCAUCAAACUCAUCCUUAUUGUCAGUAUCCCAUAUGGCUUUCUGAAAUUCACGCCAAUACUCCUUAUAAGCGUCACGUGGUAACUUAACAGAGAACUUUGAUGUGAUGUGCCAUAUGCAAAGUCGAUGAAAUGUACUCGGGAAGGCUAUUGAAAUCGCUAUGGCCAUUGCCGCAUCUUGAUCUGUAAUGAUCGUUUUAGGUUCCCCACCUGGCAUGGCUUUCUUAAACUCCUCAAACAUCCAAACAAACGACUCAGUCGUUUCCUUGCUCAAAAAUGCACAUGCUAAGACAAUUGUUUGACCAUGGUUAUUAACUCCCAACAUUGGUGCAAAUGUCAAGUCGUAUCGAUUCGUGUUGAAUGUGGUAUCGAAUACAACAACAUCUCCAUAAAACCCAUACGCCCGUCUAGAAGUUGCAUCUGCCCAAAAACAUCGACUAAACCUGUCAUGCCCAUCUCCCUCAAUCUUGAAAUAAAAAGCCUCAUUUUUUUUCUGUUCAGCCAUAAAAUACUCGGUCACUAGUUCAACAUCGUGGUUCCUCAGCUUCCCAUUCACACUACAUUCAAGAUUGUAGAUAUCUUUUUUGAUAAAACCGAUUUUAUCCAUUCCUCCGGAUUGCACCUUGAAAAUACUUACCUUAUGAUGAAUGGGAAUAUUAACUGAACCCAACUGUUUUGUGAGUACUUUGUAGAAUCUGAAAUAUGACGGUGUGAUCUCAAUAAAUGCAUUCUUUCUGAGGGUGUCAUCUUAUGAUUGUGUCCCUCUGCAAAAAGAGAUAUGGUAUACUUCUUGCUCCCAUUUGUCUUCACAACCACAAUCUUAGCUUUGCAAUUGCAUCUACUUAUUCCCCGUUGUCUUUUUCUCUCCCGAGUUUCAUCCUUCCUGUAUGCACCUUGUUUGCAACAUACAAAUUCUUUCCUCAAAAUCUCUUUCUUAUUUUUCCCCCAAAAGCUAGAAUGAAGUCGAAUACCAAAGCCAGCAAAGAAUGCAUAUCUAUUAUAGAAAUUGUAAACGAGGUCAAGCGAGUCAAACUUCAUCCCAACUGCUGGUGUUUCCUCAUUUCUUACUUCAGGAAUAUAAACCCUCCCAUUAGCUGUUGCACAUUCAUCACUCUCUGAGCCCCCAGACAUUUUAUCUACGUAUAUUAUUGAUCCACUUCUAUAUUACUGCAUAGCAAUUAUUCAUUCAUUAAUCAGUCAUUACUGCAUCACAACAUAUCAAUGCAUUCCACUUACACAAAACAUUGCCCAAAUUGACACAAAAUACGCAUAGCCUAACUUCCGAUUACACAAAACGCAAGCAAAAUUUCAUAAAAGUUACGUCAUCUCUUGUGAAAUAAUCUGGUCAAAAUAACAUUAGAACCAACAUGUUCAACUAAGAACACAAAUGUAAUUCAAACCACCAAUUACAGAACUUCACCCAAUAUCCUCUCCAACUGCUUACUCCUAAUGUCAUUAAGCCUAAGUUUAGGUUCUUUUACCUACAUUUCAUAAUUUUCCACCCCGACCAACAACAAUGAACUAAGAAUAUUGAAUAUUCAUAAGGAAAUGACACAUUAUUGAUGCCACAAAUGACGAAUUUCCCACCCUCACAAAAGAUAAACCUAACCCAAUAAAAUCAAUCCAGCAAGUGAACUUACCUCUCAAAAUCAAUCGGGAGCUCUGAAGUCAGUCAGCUUGAAAGAAUGUGGUGGACAUUACAGAAGACUCUUUGGUAUUUGAGACUCCAUCUCUACCAAAAUCGAGGAACAACUGCUGCUGCGGCUUCUAGCUACAAAAACAGAUAUGCUACUUUGCUUUCAUCUGGAAUCUUGUCAGCUGAAUGAAAAAGAGAAGGGGUUUUCACUUGAGCCAUAGAAUCAAAACAGGGCAACAGCUAGGUAAGAGCCAUUCUUCGUAAUACCCAGGAUACCAUAGAUCGCAGGCCUCCCAACGAGCUAAUGACAGUCGAGUGACUAUAAGGUUUGGGAGAUUUGGAUCCUUCUAAUUGUGGGUUUGCUUUACAUUCAAAAAGAAAGGAUUGUGUUCUUCAGUUUUUCACAGAGAGGGAAAGAGGGGAACAACUGAAGUUGGGUUUCUAACGGGUUAGAUUUCAACCCGAUUCUACAUGCACCCUCUUUUAAAAACUCACCGUUGGAUGAAAUCCAACGGCUCUUACAUGCCCCUCAAAAACACCCCUUAUAACUUCCCACUCACUAUAGAAGCUCCCCUGUUUGUGUUGUUGAAUUGGGUCUUUUAGUUGUUUUUGUAAACUCUGAUUUAAGUCUAGUUUGGUAUUGCUGUACUUUUAAAAAAAACUACUUCCGCUGUGCUGCUAGAAUACUCAGCUGUAAAAAAAAUUAGUUAUGCUUUUGGUAAACUAUAUUUGAAAAAGUGCUGUGAGUAAUCCAAAUGUUUGGUAAAUGACCAAAAAAAAGUGCUUUUAAUACGUACAAUGACUAAAAAGGACAUGAUGAUGGAACUAUUUGAUUUUUUCUUCAUUCUUUUUCUACUUAAAAAAAACUUCACUACAUAAUUUUUUUUUCUUUUUUUAUUUAUACUAUACACGUGUUCCUCUCUUCUCAAAAAAGUAAAUGCCUUUUGUUAUGUAUUGAAUGCUAACCCAACGACACCAAUUGGAAACCCAACACAGCCCAUCUCUCCACUUCAAUUUUUCUCUUUCUACCAUUUACAAGUUUUUUUUCUUCAUUCCUUCGUCUAACCAAAAAUAUCUCAUGUUUCCCCCAAUUAGUUUUAGUACUUUUGGGUAGGUGAGACUGAAAAGGGGAAAAAUUGUAUGUUGGGUUUAUGUUUUGGUGUUCUUGCAAUGGGAGAUAACAUAGUGGAGAAAGUAGCCAUGGUGAAAAUACAGAUUUCUGGGUUGCAGCCAUGGAGAUUUGAGCUGAUUUACAGUGCUGUAGUGGGGGUAGUUGAAGCCCCCCCAAAGUUGGGACUACUGCAACAGGAUCUUUCCACCCAAAACCAAAAACAAGAACAACAAACUCAGGUGGAACAUGAAACUCAUCACUCUCUCUCUUCCUUCGACUCGGGUUUUCUCUCUUCUUCCUCAAACCUGCGACAAAUAGAAAAACCCCCAAUUUAACAGAGAAAACUCUAGAUGCAGAAAGUUUGAGAAGUAGAAAACCAAAAAACCAUAAUUGUAAUUAAGUUAUUGAUGAAUGGGCAACCUUCUUAGCAAUUAAUUUUUUGAUGUCCACAAUGAGAGUUCCAGCAGCGUCAGAGAGUAGAGAAGGAAAUGAAGGAAAUAGAGUUCACAGAAUGGAGAAGAAAAAAGGGGCAAAAGACCGUCAAUUUGUAAAAUAAGUGAGGGUAUUACGGGAAAGUUAAAAGUUCAUUAAAACAACCGGUUAAAUUUUUUUUGAAGCAGCUUUUAAAAGCUUGGUAGAGACGGCUUCGAAAAAACAGCGAUCAUUGACUGCGAUUUUAAAAAAAAGCAGGAUUCCUGAUGUUUUCCAAACACCCAACUCAUGAAAUUUUUUUAUUAAAGCUGCUUUUUAAGAAAAUUAAACGCUGCCAAACACCACCUUAACCAUUUUCUUUGCGUGUGCCAAAUUUAUAAUUUUGACCAGUGUCAUGCAGGAAAAUGUUUCAUGCUUUGUUAACAGGGGGCUUUCGAUGAGUAUUUUAUUUAGAUGAAAAGUGAUUCAUUCCUUUCCUUUAUGGAUUCAUCUUGUUAGGUUGAUCUAUUGAAGAAUGAGCUUGGAUUUGAUGAGGCUUUUAACUAUAAAGAAGAGGCUGACUUGAAUGCGGCUUUCAAAAGGUGCAUAUGAGUAAUGAUAGAGAGAUUACAUUUAUAAACCCUAGCGGACCAUGAAUAUAAUGAGUCUUAAAUCUAUUAGACAAUUGGUUAGUUGACAGGUGGUAUACAAAGCAGUCUACAAAUGUGAUCUCCCUAUCAUUUUCCGUAAAAUACAUAUUUAUUAUGUUAUACUAGUUUCCUUUAGUAAGAAAAGAAAGGAAAAAAACUAUUAUUAAGAAUUUGUGUGUUGUUAGGGUUCAUCAUUGGGCUGGGCCAACUCAAAAAUUUUGGGUUCGAGCCGAGCCCUCAUGGGCCGAAAUGGGCCAGACUUUUUGUUAAAAAGUCUUUUCAAUCUUUUUGUUACACAUUUCGUUUUUUCAAAAGUGAUGGAUAUAGAGUAUUCUCUUAAACAAUAGUAUAGAUUACUACAUAAUUUAAGAAAACAAAAAUAUAAUAGCCAAACUUUUUUACUAAACCUAGACCAAUAACCAAUAUAUUUAAAAAAUAUUAUACCUAAAAAUGAAUCUUAUGAUGUGCAAUUUGUGCCUUAAUUAACUUAUAUCCCAAAUUAGGAUUGACAUCAUGAAAAUUAAAGCAAUUUGUGCCUUUAAAAUUAAUAAACCCAGAAUAAGCUUUCAAAUUCUUUAUUGAACCGUUAAAUUUGAACUUGACAAAAAAGGGGCACUAAGAGAUAUAGUGCAUAUAUUGCUUGUUUGUUACAAAAUUUUAGACAACAUUGAAAAAAUUAACUUAAUUUAUAACAUGUGUAAACAAAAUAAAAAGUUUAUUAGUUUAUCAUACAUAUUACAUUAUUUUGAUUAAGUAUAAAAUGAGGUUAGGGAAUGCAUCAAUUAAUCUUAAAAAAAUGAAAAGCAUAAGCGGGCGGGCCGAGCGGGCCUAACCAUCUUGCUAGGCUGGACUUUGACCCAUCAAGCCUCGGACUACCCACUUCGGAGCCGCGGGCCAAAUGAUGAUCCCUAUAUGUUGUAUAUGAUGCUUUGAAGCUUGAGCUUUCUUGAGUGAAGGAUAAAUUUUCUUUGUAAUUACCAUACACUUGCCAGGUAUUUCCCUGAAGGCAUUGAUAUUUACUUUGAGAAUGUUGGAGGCAAAACGCUAGACGCAGUGCUCCUCAACAUGAGAGUCCAUGGCCGCAUUGCUGUAUGUGGAAUGAUCUCACAGUACAAUCUUGAUCAAGCAGAAGGGGUAACAAAUUUGAUGCACCUUGUGUAAAAACGUAUCCGCCUCCAUGGAUUUUCGGUAAGAGAUCACUAUCACAUCCAUCCGAAAUUCGUGGAGUUUAUGCUGCCUUACAUUAGGCAAGGAAAGAUUGUUUAUGUGGAAGACAUAGUUGAAGGCCUUGAGAGUGGUCCAAGAGCGCUGGUUGGACUUUUUAAGGGUCUUAACUUUGGAAAACAAGUAGUUGACGUCUCUGCAUGAAUAAGUUGUUUUGUCAAUCGAUUUGGUGUGCUUGUGUUUCUAACCACUAUAACUUUGUUAAGUGGCUCUUUGGUUUUAUUUUUAUGUUUUUGGAUCCUUUUUGGGAUUGCAUAUGUUAAGUGGUGCACUUUGUCAUACAGAAGAUAUUCAUCAAUAAUAAGGGCUAAUUCAGGAUUGUUGUCACUUUUAAAAAAAGAUGCUUCUGUUGUGUUUUGGAAAUAAUAAGCUGUAAAGUAGUUCCAUGCGUGUUAAACAAUAUUUUUAAAGUGUUGUUAGUAUAAAAAGUUAUGUCAAAACCGUUUGGUAAAUUUUGAUAUAAAACUAGUAACUGUUGAUAAUGACUAAAACAUACAUGAUAUGUCGAAAGUGUUACGUGGUAACCAUAUGGUGGUGGUGGCGGUGGUGGUAUAGGUGGAGGUUGAGUUGGUGGUGGUGGUGGAGGUGGAGGUGGUGGUGAGGCGUGCUACGGGCACCAACUUAAAUACUAAUUUAAUGAUACCAACCUAUGUGGCAUAUGACAUGACAAUUUAUGUCAUAUGCCACAUCAUUUUUUUUAUUAGUUAAGUUUUAACAAUUUUUUGUCAGAAUUAACUUAAUUAUUUAGUUUUAAAUAAAUAAAUUCUGCUCCACGCCUCCCUUCCUUCUCGGAUCUACUACCAUGGCCUCCUUCCUCCCCAACUUGUAUGCCCUUAUUAUUACGCACAUUGAAUUUGGCUUUCGGGGUGUGACAUAUUUUUACCAAUCCCAUGAAGCUUUUCUUAUCUUUGAAUGCUUGAGUGCUAACCAUUGUGUGUUUCCCUUGCUUUAGGAAGAUUGCCUCACUCAGCAAGAAUGCAUGGUGAGGUGUUUGUGAAUGGUGCAAAAUCGGUACAUGUACAUGGCCACGACACCGAUAUAUAAAUGAGAAGAGAAUUCCUUGGUCAGUAUCAAUAUUGCGAAACUGUUGCAGCAUUGAAGGGUUGUGUGAACUCCUCGAUUUCAAGCGAAGUCGAAUAUUGCUUGAUGUGGAAGAUGGCUCAAACUAAUAAAAAUGAGGAAAACGGAUCAUACCAACAAAAAUAUGGCAGAUGGCCAGAAUCAAUAUAACCGUGGUCAGAUUUGGGAAGUGAGGCCAUGGCAGAUUCGGAGAGGGAGGGAGGCCAUGGCAGAUCUAUAAAGGAAUGGAGAAACAGAUCACACCUCUUCCCUUCUCCUCAUACCACAACUCAUCAUACACACCCAAUCGAUUUUGAAAUAUUACAUAAAAGUUGUGAUGGCGCUGGAACUGCAGAUUCAGAACGUUUUUUAUAUGCUUCCCACAAGCAGUCAGACAAACCCUUAGAGGACGAGUGACAUCAUUACCUUCUCAACUUACCAAAGAAAGAACUCCUUCCGAAGUGGUAACCACUUGCCGAUGCUCCCAACUACAGAACCAAGUUUCCAUGGACACGUGUCACCUCCACAAUAGUUUGCACAAAGUCCGACAUUGAAACUUUGUGCAAAACUCCCAUUUUCAGGGAACAGUACCUAAGGAAAAGGGGUAACUACUUUUCACAUUUACUGUUACUCUGCCAAAAUUACCACAUAUACUCGCUGACUUAAGUAUUGGAGAGUCUUCGGCAGGUACCACACCAGUGUCCGAAGCUUGACGAUCCCUUCUUCCUUGUUUUCUUAUGCAAGAUCCCUCCAUACCGAAGGUCCACAACCUUCUCCCUUGCUGAAGAUUUAACACUCCUUUAUCUAAGUUAACCCUCCGAAAAAGAGCAUCAACACGCGCAGCACUCAUUAUCUUUCAACAAUCUGAUUAUCUUAUACUAGUUAAUUUAUGGGUUGUUUGAUAACAAUUUCAAUUUUAAUUUUUAGUUUUCAUUUUCAUUUUUUUUGAAAACUGAAAACAUGUUUGGUAUUAGAUUUCGUUUUCAAAUUAAAAAAAAAGUGAAAUCUAGUUUUCAAAAUCACCUUUUUUUUAAAAAACAACUUGGAAGUGUUUUAUGUUUUUUUUUUAUGUUUUUUUUUUUUUUUUUUUUUUUUUUGUGCACUAUUGUUUGUUGGAGUGUUAGUUGACUUUCUUUGCACACCAAGGUUUCCCAUAUUAACUCAUGCAUAGAUUGGAAUUGAUUUCCUACUCUAAAUAGUAUUAGAAGUUAUUAAUUACCUUACUUAGCCUUCAAGGAAUAUUGUAUUAUAAAUAUGGCCUUCUACAAGGAGAAGAAUACACAGAAAAUUCUCACCACAAUUACUCUUUCGUAAUUUUAGCAUUAUUUCAUUCAUAAGUUUCACAUCACCACACAUGAAAUGCACUCCGGUUACCAAAAGUCGGUAUUUGGGACCUCCCAACUUGGACUUGGUCGCUCAAUUCGUGCUUUUGGCCACAAUCCCAAUCCAAACCUCGUCAACUCCAUGUCCAAAGGUCACUAAAAAAUAAUCAUAAUUUUAAAAAAUUCACCAAAAAAUAUUACGAAUUUUUUGUCAUUCCUGCUUUAACUUUACCUUUUGUUUUCAAAUGUUGACCCGUCCCAACCCAACUCUCAAUGCUCGAAGGGUUCUUUCGUGUAGUUAAGAGUUGGGUUUUCCAAGGUAGGUCUAUAUUGAUUCGAACAACUUUGCGGUAUAUCUGUGGGUAAGAUACUGUUCUCAAAGUAGUAAAGGCUGAACUAAAAGGCUAAAUGGGAAAAUGAAUACUUUCUUUUCUCUUCCUCAAGAAACAUACAUCCUCACCACAAGAGAGGGAGAGUUGCUUGGUAUUUUGUUAAAUAAAAUAAAAUAAUUAAUAAUUGAAAAUAGAAAAUGUUUGAAAAGGAUAUUGGGAAUAAAGAGAGAAGAUGCGGGUGUGAGUAAAAUAACAAUAAAAGAAAAUUAAAUCAAAAAUAAAAAAAUAAAAAAAUAAUUAAGUUUUGGGGAGUAGAAAUCGGGAUGGAGGGGGGAGAGAGAGGUUUUUUUUUAAAAAUUUUUUAUUCGUAUUUUAAUCAAUUUUGAUAUUGUUGAGGCCCAAAAAAGUUACGGGAAGCCCAAAGACAUUUAAAGCCCAAUAUAACAUAUAUUCUCAGUCAUGCGUUAAUCCAAGCUGUAAUUCGGAUUUAAUUCAUUAAAUAAAUAUAAAAUAGUGUACAUGUCAUGCUAAACUAAUAAUACAUUUUCCCCAUGCUAAUCACCUAUCAAGCUCACAUGAACCCAAGUCAUGUGAUUUACGGGCUUGCAUGAGGGAUUGUGGUGUGGAAGGUUACGGAGGUCCACAAGGCCCACGGAAGCUCUUGGAUAACAGAGACUUUGGGCUAGCUACUUGAGAGCACCAAAGUCCAAGCCCAUUACUUAGAGUUCUCCAAUGUGGGUGAGCAAAUGAGACAUUUUUCAAGCACUGCCUUUUACCUAUAGGAAAUAGUCAUUUUCCAAAUACCAAGCUUUACCCGUUGGAAACAAGCAUUUUCCAGCACUUCCUAUUACCCAUUGGAAACAAGCAGUUUCCAGUGCUUCCUUUUACCAAUAGGAAAAAAUCUGUUUAUGAUACCUAGCUUUACCUAUUGGAAAAUAGCAUGUCCUAGUCCUCCCUUUUAACCAUUAGAAAUAGGUUGGUUCCAAUACCUCCCUUUACCUAUUGGAAAUAAAGGAAAACCCUCACCCUCUAUAAAUUGGCACUCAUGGCUCAAGCAAAAGGCACCAAUUUUUCUUCAGCCAAUACUUCCUCACUCGGCUACUGCAAGCAUCCCAGCAGCCACCAACCCCCAUAAAGCAUCACCUAGCUCCAAGCUUUUCCUUCCUUCCAAGCUUUAAACACCAUAGCCUUUAAACCUCAAGCUUUUCCUUCCAUCCUCCUUCUCUUGAAACUCUUAAAUCCCCAUAGCCAUAGCCACACACAACAAAUUAUCAACACCAAACUCAAACAUAUCCAACACCAAGCCAAGCACAUGCAUUCUCAUUUGCUAAACUUGUGGGUCUUUAGCUCCUACACUCCAAGCUCUCAUGCUAAGCUCACAUAAUCUCAUACCAACAUCAGCAAGUCAUCUUCAACUCUUCGUCGAGCUGCCGAAAACAUCAACACAAAACAUGCAGCCGUUGGAAGAAGAACAAAGUACUCUCCCGGGACUUGCUUUUCCCUUGGGACACUUUGGGCCUAGUUCUCGCUAACUCAGAUAAAGGAACAACGAAGUCUUCAUUCAUCACUCUAUGGCGACCCAAGAAUCAACAAAGCCCGGAUGAGCCUUCGAACGAAAGUGACCACAUGCAAAGCUCAAGCUUCAAUAGCCAAGCCCAAGCUUUUGGUUCCUAAAAACAUGCUUACGACAGCUGCAACAAACAAUACCUAAGUCACCAUAAGUGAUAUGCCCCAGCGUCUCAAGCACUUUCUAUGCCCUGACAAUUCUAAUGAUCAAGUUUUAGAGUCAAACCAAAAGGCCAUUGGGAUGUCUCAAUUGCCACAAUUCCAUAAUCAAUCAUCAUCAAGCCUCAAGCCUUAUUCAAGAAAUCCAAGCACUAUUCUUUACUCAAGAAGGAAAACAUCUCAGUUCGUGGCAAAUAGAAGGAAAAUACUACGAAGGUACCGGAAGAACCUAAACACUGUCAAGAUGAAGUUUCCUUUACCAAGCAAUCAAAAUUUUUGAAGUGAUGUCAAGCUAUCAAGAAAAAGAGUAAAGUCACUAUGCAACACAACAACCAAAAUAUGCUUGUAGUAACCAAGAUUCAAGCCAAGCAAAAUGUGGAAGAUAAUGAUGCGUUGUAUGAAAUGCUCCUGGAAGAUAACACAAGCCCUAUAGUCAUGCUGCCGGAAGAGUGAACCAUCAUGCCACUAAAUUUGAAAGAGGAGCCCCAUAUCUGAGUACUGGAAGGCAGCGCAGUGGACUCCAAAACUAAGAUCUAGUCCAAGUGACUUAAGGCCUCCAUAUUGCAAUGCUUAUUUGCCAACACCUAUACCGCUUUCAAGCUACUGCAGACACUAUCAUGCUCAAAUCCUUAAGCAUCUCCCAUUGUAUUUUCAUCUUCUAAUCUACCAAAGCCCUCAUGAUUGACCAAGCUAUAUCUUGAUUCAACUCCACCCACUUGCUCUUUACAGCAGCCCAGGCCCAUCUGUAGCUGCCGGAACAAAAAAGCCCCAACGUAAAUGACAAAACCGAAACACUAAAGCACAUCCACCAUGCUAAAUAGCCCAAAAGCUAUAUUAAACCACGACACUUUAGCCAAUACCAAGCGUACAAGCCAAUGCCCAGCAUCCAAGCAUACAAGCCAAAGCUUAGCGUACAAGCCAAUACUAAGCAUACAUGCCAAUGCCAAGCAUACACACCAAUGCCAAGCAUCCAAGCCAAUACCAAGCGUACAAGACAAAGCCAAGCAUACAAGUCAAUACCAAGCAUACAUGCCAAUGCUACGCGUAUACGCCAAUGCCAAGCAUCUAAGCCAAUACCAAGCAUACAAGCCAAAGCCAAGCGUACAAGCCAAUACCAAGCAUAUAUGAGCCCAAGAUCAAGCGUACAUGCCAAUGCCAAGCAUCCAAAUCAAAUACUAAGAAUACAUGUCAACAUCAAGCAUACAUGCCAACACCAAAUAUACACGUAAAAACCAAGGAAGCAAGCACGGAUGUUUCAUGCAUAUUGAAGAACCAGCCAUGUCAUGCCACUGCCAAUUAUUUUGGGCUGAAAUAGAUUAUUGGGCCCAUCUCACUGCCACUUCAUAGCCCCAAUAAUCAAGGGGGCUAAUGUUGAGGCCCAAAAAAGUUACGGGAAGCUCAAAGACAUUCAAAGCCUAAUAUAACCUAUAAUGUCACUCAUGCGUUAAUCCAAGCUGUAAUUUGGAUUUAAUUCAUUAAAUAAAUAUAGAAAUAGUGUACAUGCCAUACCAAAAUAAUAAUACAUUUUUUCCAUGCCAAUCACCUAUCAAGCUCACAUGAACCCAAGUCAUGUGGUUUAUGGGGCUUGCAAGAGGGAUUGUGGUGUGGAAGGUUACGGAGGUCCACAAGGUUCAUGGAAGCUCUUGAAUAAUGGAGACUUUGGGCUAGCUACUUGGGAGCACCAAAGUCCAAGCCCAUUACUUAGAGUUCUCUAAUGUGGGUGAGCAAAUGAGACAUUUUUUAAGCACUUCCUUUUAUCCAUAGGAAAUAGUCAUUUUCCAAAUAUCUAGCUUUACCCGUUGGAAACAAGCCUUUUCCAGCACUUCCUAUUACCCACUGGAAAUAAGCAGUUUCUAUUACUUCCUUUUACCAAUAGGAAAUAAUCUGUUUAUGGUACUAGCUUUACCUGCUGGAAAAUAGUAUGCCCUAGUGCUCCCUUUUAACCAUUAGAAAUAGGUUGGUUCCAGUACCUCCCUUUACCUAUUGGAAAUAAAGGAAAACCCUCACUCUCUAUAAAUUGGCACUCAUGGCUCAAGUAAAAGGCACCAAUUUUUCUUCAGCCAACACUCCCUAACUCAGCUGCUGCAAGCAUCCCAGCAGCCACCAACCCCCAUAAAGCAUCACCUAGCUCCAAGCUUUUCCUUCCUUCCAAGCUUUAAACACCAUAGCCUUCAAACCUCAAGCUUUUCCUUCCAUCAUCUUUCUCUUGAAACUCUUAAAUCCCCAUAGCCAUAGCCACACACAACAAAUUAUCAACACCAAACUCAAACAUAUCCAACACCAAGCCAAGCACAUGCAUUCUCAUUUGCUAAACUUGUGGGUCUUUAGCUCCCACACUCCAAGCUCUCAUGCCAAGCUCAUAUAAUCUCAUACCAACAUCAGCAAGUCAUCUUCAACUCUUCGUCGAGCUGCCGAAAACAUCAACGCAAAACACGCAGCCGAUGGAAGAAGAACAAAGUACUCUCCCGAGACUUGCUUCUCCCUCGGGAUACUUUGGGCCUAGUUCUCGCUAACUCAGACAAAGGGGCAACGAAGUCUUCAUUCAUCACUCUAUGGCGAUCCAAGAAUCAACAAAGCCCGGAUGAGCCUUCGGACGAAAAAGACCCCAACAGAUAUAAAAAUACCAUUUUUCCCCUGCAGUUAACAGAAAAGUUAACAGCCGGACCAUUUGUCCUAACGAAACUGAAGUUGAAGAACUACGGGAACCAUUUUGAAAAUUGAGGUACUCAAAUACAAAUCGGGUCUAAGUUCAGGGAUUAAUAAAACAAUUAACCCCUGAGUUUAUAAUGCUCGAGAGUAUAUAGGAAGAGGACACUCCAACUGGCAGCUAUGGAGGAGGCCAAGACUAGUAGUGUCUAUUCUGUGAAAGCUAACUUUGCUUUCUUAUUAUCCACAACUUAGAUAUAUCAAUGGCUUCUUGCAAGAACCUCAAUUCUUUAUGAACUUUCUGCCCUAAAAUGCUUUAUCUAAUAGCUCAGACAAUGGUGAAAGAAAAAAAAUUGUUGUUGGAAUCUUAGCAUAAUAAUAUUUUCCAGCCAAAAUCAGUUGUUAGAUUCUCCAACAGCACAAUCUCUUUUCGCAAUCACAUACUAGUCAAUCCUACAGAGCAUAAGAUCCUACUUUGAGGGGUGGAAAGGAAUGAAUUCAACUCACCACUAUUAUGACCAAGGCAAUAAUUUUCAUUUCCAUCACAUGAUUCUAGGUGACCCACAACUCCAUACCACCAACCUGCAAUAUAUACAGAAAAUCCUAUCAAGCAAUGGACAAUGGGAAAUUAAUUAAUUUCACCUUUUAUUUAAGUUUCUGCAUAUUAAACGAAUCUACUUUCAUUAUAUAUUUAAGGGAAAUGUAAGCCUUUUUUUUCGUUCUUUACCCUUUUUUUUCCUCACCUUAAUGGGGCUUGAGGAUGUUUGAAUUGUUCGCUAGAACUACUUUCAUUAUCUAUUUGAGGCAUACUUCAUGAACCACAUGGAUUCUAGGAAGUGAUAUAGACCUUUGUUUCUUUCAUUUGAGCCCUUCUAGCCAACCCGUAUCACUUUUAUCCCUUGUUAAUCACCUUGUGCCUUUUAUGUAAGCCUUUUUUUUCGUUCUUUACCCUUUUUUCCUCACCUUAAUCUAUCAUAUGUUACCCUUCUAAGGAGUUUUGUACAGUAUUUUCGUUGUUAAGGGAGAAUUGCACAACAAUCAUGUGGAAAGUAAAGGAUACUAUUUCCAAAAAAAAAACCUAAUUUCAAACCCUUUUCAACUCGAGUUAUUGAGCCCUAUGAGUGUUUUACAUUUAAUUUCGUAAAGCUAUGUAGCUUGGGAGUCAUUGGCCUAACACUCGCUGCAUGGGUUGAUUAGAAAGCUAAUGAAGAGUUAGAAAAAAAAAUUGUGAAAAAUAAAUAAAUUUCAAGACAGUAUCAAUAUGAAGUUGCGUGCUCAAAGUGCAAGAUGUUAUAAUUUUCAUGGAAAGCUCUAUGAAUUCCUUAGAAUUUGUUCAUCCAUAUCUUUUUCUUGUUUCACCCGUCACUCUAAGCCCCAUUACAACCUUAUUUGAAGACUAUUCUGCUAUUUUCUCAAGGCGUGCAAUAUAUGACUGGAAAGAUAAGAUAAAGACCUACAAUUUACAUAUUUUUUCAGAAUUUUCUCGGAGGAGGAAUGAUUCCAAACGUGGGUGCAAAGUAACUAACGUGUUAUCCUAGUCCAAGUAGGAAGAUGAGUCAAUUACUUACCCAUUUUGGAUUUAAGUUUUAAUUAGCUGUUUCUUUAUUUUUGGGCUGUUGUAAAAGGCCAGCUAAGGUAGGAAUAGACGUGUGGCAUUUUAUUUAAGCAUGAGACAACUCCUUUGGGAAGACGCAAAGACUAGGAGAAAUUGGAGACGCCGGAAGAGUACCACAAUUGGCUAAGUUUUAUUGUUUCUUCCUUAUGUUUUUGUUUAUGUCAAAUUCUAUGAUUAUGUGUAACUAAUUUUAUUUUGCUAGGGCAUGAUGUAUGCCUAGUAUGAUAAUCUAGUUUUCUUAUUUUACCUAUCUAUUGAUUGCAGUUUGAUGUUAGAUUCUUAAUCACUGUGCUUAGUACCUUAGUUGAUUACCUUGAUGCUUGAUCACCAUCUAGACUUUUAAUUGAGUUAAUCGGAUGCGAAUUAGAGUAAAUACCAUACUUAAUUUGAGGUUUGCUUCUUGUGAUUAGAAUUUGUAAUUUGUCUAAAGUAAAUACCAUACUCCUAGAAUUUACAUGCUUGUUGGAGGUUUUCACUGAUUUCAAUAUUUUCCCGACAUGUGAUGCCAACAACAUAGAUGUUUCAAUGUUUCACUAUGGAAGCAAUCACGUAAGGAUUAACAUGGCAGGACAUCAGACAUGAGAAACUAAGAAGAGAGAGAGAGAGAGAGAGAGAGACUUGCCAUUCAAGCAAGAGAAGGCCAUAACACUAUAUAGCAAUAGCACCGUAAAAUAAGAUGCAAAGAAUGAGGGGGUCAUGUUUUCAAGUACCAAAACACGCAAGGGCAUUUUGGUAAAGUACAUCUGAAAAUAAAUCAAGGCAAGCAAAGCCGUAGAUAUCCUCUUCCUGCUACACAUAGUAUUAGCCUACGUAAGGUCAUUACGGCGCCGUUUCCCUUUUUAAUUGGCGUAGUUCAACUCAUCAUCCACCCAAGUUCAUUUCGUUCAAAGCUAUAAAUAACCCCUCAAACCAUUCAACUUUCCCACCACCACUCCUCACUCCUUCAACUCAUUAACCUCUCUCUCUCUCUCUCUCUCUCUCUCUCUCUCUCUCAUCCGCAAAUGGCGAACCGUAGAAGCCUCUUUUCUCUCUCACUUAUCUUUGUGUUCAUGAUCAACUCAGCCAUAGCCACUCCAGUCACAUACAAUGUGGCCAGUUUAGGAGCCAAAGCAGAUGGCAAGACUGACUCCACAAAAGCCUUCCUCUCUGCAUGGGCUAAAGCUUGUGCCUCGAUGAAUCCCGGUGUCAUUUAUGUGCCGGCAGGAACGUUCUUUCUUCGCGAUGUGGUGUUCAGUGGGCCUUGCAAGAACAAUGCCAUCACCUUCCGCAUUGCCGGAACCCUUGUGGCCCCGUCGGAUUACCGGGUCAUCGGUAAUGCAGCUAACUGGAUUUUCUUUCACCAUGUAAACGGGGUUACCAUAUCAGGUGGAAUUCUUGACGGCCAAGGCACGGCCUUGUGGGCUUGCAAGGCCUCUCAUGGCGAGAGUUGUCCCAGCGGAGCAACGGUAAUUAAUUCACUACUUUAAAUAUCAUAUUCAUGACACCAUUAAAUAUCAAAUUCAUGACACCAUUAUUUUGUGCUUCAUUAUUAGUGAGAAUUUUAAAGGUCAACGUACGUACAAUUUGCUUUAUUAUUUGCUACCAAUUGAAUUGAGGGUUUAUAAAAUAAGUUCAAACUCCACAGAACGUAAUCAAAUGGACAUGAUAAAUUGUACCACAAGUUUAGCUUGAUCAAGUAAUUUCGUAAUAUGUGCAGACUUUGGGUUUUUCCGACUCAAACAACAUCGUGGUGAGUGGAUUGGCAUCCCUAAACAGCCAAAUGUUCCAUAUAGUCAUCAACGACUGCCAAAAUGUGCAAAUGCAAGGUGUCAGGGUUUCUGCUUCCGGUAAUAGCCCUAACACCGAUGGCAUUCAUGUCCAAAUGUCAUCUGGUGUCACAAUCCUCAACUCCAAGAUUGCAACCGGUGACGAUUGUGUCUCAAUUGGCCCCGGAACCUCAAAUUUGUGGAUAGAAGGCGUUGCUUGUGGACCUGGCCAUGGAAUUAGGUACGACAUCAAAAUUAUAUAUUUAUCCAUGAUUGAUUAAACUAGCUAAAUGCAUACUAUUUCAUAAUAUAUGUUAUAAUGUAUAUCUUUUUUCUUCAUUGCUUAAUGACAUUUGAACUUAGGACAUCUUUCAAUAAAGUGGAGAUUAAUUGAUUGCUAGUAGAGAUUCAUUGCCUACAAAAAGUAUAUCUUUCUUUUGGGUGGAUGUUCUAGUUGUAAAUUUAACAUUGCUUUACUUGAUGGUUCAGCAUUGGAAGUCUAGGCAAGGAGCAAGAAGAGGCCGGUGUACAAAAUGUAACAGUUAAAACGGUUACCUUUAGUGGUACUCAGAAUGGUCUAAGAAUCAAGUCAUGGGGGAGGCCAAGCACUGGGUUUGCUAGAAAUAUUCUUUUCCAACAUGCUACAAUGGUCAAUGUCGAAAAUCCUAUUGUCAUAGAUCAACAUUAUUGCCCCGACAACAAAGGGUGCCCUGGUCAGGUAAGAUAUCAUUCAUGCUCUAAAAAUCAGUUCCCAAAGUUUAAUAUUACAACUCAAUUUUCUCUUCUUCACAUUGAUAAAAACGUUGGCAUCACCAAAUUAUAACUGUCUAAGUUCGAAACAUAUCAAAAGCUUUCUUGGGCUUCCACCUAGAAGAGCCAAUAAUUUUAGGCCCAAAGCAAAUCCAAUAACUCCUUCCUCCAUGGGCUUGCUCUCCUACUACUUACAAAGAUCGAGCCUUGCUCAUUGUAACCUUUGUAACUUAUUAAUGGAAUUGAGGGUUGUAGCUCAAGUGGUUAACAACAUUUACUCUGGUAUUCGAAGUCCUAGAUUUAAUUCCCCUCUUUUCCAAUACCAUUUUUAUCAAAAUGACUUCAUCGUAGCUUAGCCAAAAAAGCAUUGAAUCCCAUUAAGCCGAAUUCCCAUGCUAUAAUACUUGUUCACCUUCUGUUUUAUCAAAAGCUGGAAAUCUGACUUCGUAUUGUUUUUUUUUUCUUUUGUCAAUUUUGUUUUUCAAUAGGUUUCCGGAGUUCAAAUUAGCGAUGUGACAUACGAAGACAUACACGGUACAUCAGCAACAGAAGUUGCAGUAAAAUUUGAUUGCAGUCCCAAGCACCCUUGCAGCGAGAUCAAAUUGGAGGAUGUGAAGCUUACUUACAAGAACCAAGCAGCUGAGUCUUCAUGUAGCCAUGCAGAUGGAACAACUGAGGGUGUGGUUCAGCCUACAAGUUGUUUGUAGAGUGGAAAAAUAUGAACUGCUUGUAGAAGUAUUGAAAUCCAAAAGUUUGCCCUCCAGUACUAAGGACAAAUGAAAAGUGAAUUAUACGAUUUAUAGGAAGAAUAAGCUUGUGGCGUUGGCAGCCUAUUUCGGCUCCCUUGAUCCUGGCCGUUCAAUUAGUUUAGUUUGUUCAAACUCGUCCACUUCGAUGGGUGUUUAUGUUAUAUGAACUGUUGUAAGAUUAUGUCCGGAAGACGUUAAAUUUACAAGAUUAAAUUUUAUUUUGAUGGCUGAUGUGGCAUUUGACAUAGAAUUCAAUAUUCUAUCAAUUUAAUUCACAAUUUUAUUAUAAUCGGAAGCACACAUUAAAUAGUAAAAAUUUGGUUCAAGAAACAAAAGGAUUUCAACACUCGCAUGAACUUUUUGGUUGGAGCAUUUUCUCAUGCCAAAUUUUACCCGUUAAAAAUUUAUUAUGGUAUUUUGACAUUUUGGUUGGAGCAUUUUCUCAUGUCAAAUUUUACCCGUUAAAAAUUUACUAUGAUAUUUUAACAUUUCGAUUGGAGAUGUAUAAAUGUUAAAUAUGCAUUGAUUCAAGAUGCAUUUUUGUUUCUUAUUCUUGAGCUUUGAGCUUUAGGUAAUUAACUUGAAUGCUGUUGGGCACCUUGCACUAGUUGAUUAAAGAAAAAUAGACCCGAAGCAAGAUUCCUUGUAGUUGCCAAUUCGAAGUUUUCUUUAUCGCUACAUACUUACUGGUCUACAACUUCUCUCUCUAAUACAUAAUUUGACAUAAAUAAAUACAAUGAAGAGUGCAUUGACUAAACAAAACAAAACAAAAAAGCAGCACGUAAGCACUUACGUGCAUUUGGUGUAAAAGCUAAAGGCCUCUGAUUUAUGUAAGCAGUUACGCUAAUCAUAUUAUAUUAUAUGUAUCUUGGCUCUGUAAUUGUAACGGAAAUAACACUGUUUUGUUAUUCUCAACCAAUAACACAAUGAUACGUGGAAAAGUUAUUUCACGUGUCAUUGCGUUAUUGGUUGAGAUAUAUCUUUCCCUUUCAAUUUUUGUAAACAUAUAUACCAAAUGUUAUGCUCAAAUAUAUAUUAAUUGUUAGACAUUGUUACCUUAAAAAAAAAAAUGUAUUGCAAAAUACAAGUUUGAUCAUAUGAUUAAUUUAAUUUUGUUGGUGUAAACGUGCAGCCAAUAUAUGGGUAUGGAGUCUCUGGGCACCCAGAUUUGAAGGCAGGUGACUUAGUUUGGGGGACUACCUAUUGGGAAGAGUACAGCCGAAUCCCUGAACCCGAAGGCCUGAUCAAAAUCCAGCACACUGAUGUACCUCUAUCCUAUUAUACUGGAAUUCUUGGUAACAAGUCAAACCUAUUUUAGAUCAUGAUGAUAUGUGUUGGUUUAGAUACGUAAGUGUAUUUUUUGUAAUUUCAUUUCAGGUAUGCCUGGUUUGACCGCUUAUGUUGGUUUCUAUGAAAUUUGUUCUCCUAAGAAAGGAGAACAUGUCUUCAUUUCAGCAGCAGCUGGUGCUGUUGGUCAGCUUGUUGGACAAUUUGCAAAAUUAAUGGGUUGUUAUGUUGUUGGAAGUGCUGGCAGUAAGGAAAAGGUACGAACUUGAGAAAUCUUUGAACUUCAAAUUAAUAUUAUCUACACCAUUUUUUCUUGUUUGGGUUGUAUUUUGCCGUUGUUAUUUGGGCCAACUUUGGUGUUGGUUUGGGUUGGGGCUUCUGUUUGUGUUGUUGAAUUGGGUCUUUUAGUUGUUUUUGUAAACUCUGACUUAACCAUUUUCUUUGCGUGUGCUAAAUUUAUAAUUUUGACCAGUGUCACGCAGGAAAUGUUUCAUGCUUUGUUAACAGGGGACUUUAGAGGAGUAUUUUAUUCAGAUGAAAAGUGAUUCAUUCCUUUCCUUUAUGGAUUCAUCUUGUUAGGUUGAUCUAUUGAAGAAUGAGCUUGGAUUUGAUGAGGCUUUUAACUAUAAAGAAGAGACUGACUUGAAUGCGGCUUUCAAAAGGUACAUAUGAGUAAUGAUAGAGAGAUUAGAUUUAUAAACCCUAGCGUACCAUGAAUACAAUGAGUUUCAACUCUAUUAGACAAGUUGUUAUUUGACAGGUGGUAUACAAAGCAAUCUAUAAAUGUGAUCUCCCUAUUAUUUUUCGUAAAAUACAUAUUUAUUAUGUUAUACUAGUUUCCUUUAGUAAGAAAAGAAAGGAAAAAAACGAUUAUAAAGAAUUUGUGUGUUGUCAGGGUUCGUUAUUCGACUGGGCCAACUCAAAAAUUUUGGGUUCGAGUCGAGCCCUCAUGGGCCUAAAUGGGCCAGACUUUUUGUUUUAGAAAGUCUUUUAAAUCUUUUUGUUACACAUUUCAUUUUUUCAAAAGUGAUGGAUAUAGAGUAUUCUUUUAAACAAUAGUAUAGAUUACUACAUAAUUUAAGAAAACAAAAAUAUAAUGGCCAAACUUUUUUACUAAACCUAGACCAAUAACCAAUAUAUUUAAAAAAUAUUAUACCUAAAAAUGAAUCUUAUAAUGUGCAAUUUGUGCCUUAAUUAACUUAUAUCCCAAAUUAGGAUUGACAUCAUGAAAAUUAAAGCAACUUGUGCCUUUAAAAUUAAUAAACCCAGAAUAAGCUUUCAAAUUCUUUAUUGAACCAUUAAAUUUGAACUUGACAAAAAAGGGGCACUAAGAGAUAUGGUGCAUAUAUUGCUUGUUUGUUACAAAAUUUUAGACAACAUUGAAAAAAUUAACUUAAUUUAUAAUAUGUGUAAACAAAAAAAAAAAAAAAAAAAAAAGCAUAAGGGGGCGGGCCUAACCAUCCUGUUAGGCCGGACUUUGGCCCAUCAGGCCUCGGACUACCCACUUCGGGGCCGCGGGCCAAAUGAUGAUCCUUAUAUGUUGUAUAUGAUGCUUUGAAGCUUGAGCUUUCUUGAGUGAAGAAUAAAUUUUCUUUGUAAUUACCAUACACUUGUCAGGUAUUUCCCUGAAGGCAUUGAUAUUUACUUUGAGAAUGUUGGAGGCAAAACGCUAGACGCAGUGCUCCUCAACAUGAGAGUCCAUGGCCGCAUUGCUGUAUGUGGAAUGGUCUCACAGUACAAUCUUGAUCAAGCAGAAAGGGUAACAAAUUUGAUGCACCUUGUGUACAAACGUAUCCGCCUCCAUCGAUUUUCGGUAAGAGAUCACUAUCACCUCCAUCCGAAAUUCGUGGAGUUUAUGCUGCCUUACAUUAGGCAAGGAAAGAUUGUUUAUGUGGAAGACAUAGUUGAAGGCCUUGAGAGUGGUCCAAGAGCGCUGGUUGGACUUUUUAAGGGUCUUAACUUUGGAAAACAAGUAGUUGACGUCUCUGCAUGAAUAAGUUGUUUUGUCAAUCGAUUUGGUGUGCUUGUGUUUCUAACCACUGUAACUUUGUUAAGUGGCUCUUUGGUUUUAUUUUCAUGUUUUUGGACCCUUUUUGGGAUUGCAUAUGUUAAGUGGUGCACUUUGUCAUACAAAAGAUAUUCAUCAAUAAUAAGGGCUAGUUUGGGAUUGUUGUCAUUUUUAAAAAAAGAUGUUUUUGUUGUGUUUUGGAAAUAAUGAGCUGUAAAGUAGUUCCAUGCUUGUUAAAACAAUAUUUUUAAAGUGUUGUUAGUAUAAACAGCUAUGUCAAAACCGUUUGGUAAAUUUUGAUAUAAAACUAGUAACUGUUGAUAAUGACUAAAACAUACAUGAUAUGUCGAAAGUGUUACGUGGUAACUAUGUGGUGGUGGUGGUGGUGGUAUAGGUGGAGGUUGAGUUGGUGGUGGUGGUGAAGGUGGUGGGUGGUGGGGGAAGUGAUGUUAGUGCAUGUGGUGGUGGUUUGUAGUGGUUGUGGUGGUAUAGGUGGAGGUGGAAGUAGAGGUGGAGUUGGUGGUAGAGGUGAUGGGUGGUGGUAGUGGUAAAUGUCAAAUCGAGGUACGAGUGAUCAAAUAAGUGUACAAUAAAAGUUCUUGGGAAUUAGAUUGAUAACAGUGUUUUACGAAUCAUAUUUAACAAGAAAAUCGAGACAUAUUUUCACAUUUAUUGAGCCAUAUGGGUCACAUAGGAUAAUCAAGUCGGCAAUAAAGCUUGGGUGGUAUGACAUCCUCUAUAGGCCUAGAAGUGUGAUAUAAAGGCACAAGGUUUGGCAAAUUCUGUAGUUGAAUUACCACAUCGACUUACAGAGGUGUGAUACGGGCAUCAACUUAAAUACCAAUUUAAUGAUACCAACUUAUGUGGCACAUGACAUAACAAUUUAUGUCAUAUGCCACAUCAUUUUUUUUAUUAAUUAAGUUUUAACCAUUUUUUUGUCAGAAUUAACUUAAUUAUUUAGUUUUAAAUAAAUAAAUUCUGCUCCACGCCUCCCUUCCUUCUCGGAUCUACUACCAUGGCCUCCUUCCUCCCCAACUUGUAUGCCCUUAUUAUUACGCACAUUGAAUUUGGCUUUCGGGGUGUGACAUAUUUUUACCAAUCCCAUGAAGCUUUUCUUAUCUUUGAAUGCUUGAGUGCUAACCAUUGUGUGUUUCCCUUGCUUUAGGAAGAUUGCCUCACUCAGCAAGAAUGCAUGGUGAGGUGUUUGUGAAUGGUGCAAAAUCGGUACAUGUACAUGGCCACGACACCGAUAUAUAAAUGAGAAGAGAAUUCCUUGGUCAGUAUCAAUAUUGCGAAACUGUUGCAGCAUUGAAGGGUUGUGUGAACUCCUCGAUUUCAAGCGAAGUCGAAUAUUGCUUGAUGUGGAAGAUGGCUCAAACUAAUAAAAAUGAGGAAAACGGAUCAUACCAACAAAAAUAUGGCAGAUGGCCAGAAUCAAUAUAACCGUGGUCAGAUUUGGGAAGUGAGGCCAUGGCAGAUUCGGAGAGGGAGGGAGGCCAUGGCAGAUCUAUAAAGGAAUGGAGAAACAGAUCAUACCUCUUCCCUUCUCCUCAUACCAGAAUUCAUCAUACACACCCAAUCGAUUUUGAAAUAUUACAUAAAAGUUGUGAUGGUCCUGGAACUGCAGAUUAAGAACGCUUUUUAUAUGCUUCCCACGAGCAUUCAGACAAACCCUUAGAGGGCGAGUGACAUCAUAACCUUCUCAACUUACCAAAGGAAGACCUCCUUCCGAAGUGGUAACCACUUGCUGAUGCUCCCAACUACAGAACCUAGUUUCCAUGAACACGUGUCACCUCCACAAUAGUUUGCACAAAGUCCCACAUCGAAAUUUUGUGCAAAACUCCCAUUUUCAAGGAACAGUGCCCAAAGAAAAAGGAGUAAAUACUUUUCACCUUUACUGUUACUCUGCCAAAAUUACCACAUAUACUCGCUGACUUAAGCAAUGGAGAGCCUUCGGCAGGUACCACACCGGUGUCCGAAGCUUGACGAUCCCUUCUUCCUUGUUUCCUUUUGCAAGAUCCCUCCAUACCGAAGGUCCACAACCUUCUCCCCUGCUGAAGAUUUAACCCUCAUUUAUCUAAGUUAACCCUCUGAAAAAAAGCAUCAACACACACAACACUCAUUAUCUUUCAGCAAUCUGAUUAUCUUACACUAGUUAAUUUAUGGGUUGUUUGAUAACCAUUUCAAUUUUAAUUUUUAGUUUUCAUUUUAAUUUUUUGUGAAAACUGAAAACAUGUUUGGUAUUAGAUUUCGUUUUCAAAUUAAAAAAAAGUGAAAUCUAGUUUUCAAAUUUUAAAAAAGUGAAAUCUAGUUUUCAAAAUCACCUUUAUUUUUUAAAACAACUUGGAAGUGUUUUAUGUUUUUUUUUUUUUUUUUUUUUUUUGGCACUAUUGUUUGUUGGAGUGUUAGUUGACUUUCCUUGCACACCAAGGUUUCCCAUAUUAACUCAUGCAUAGAUUGGGAUUGAUUUCCUACUCUAAAUAGUAUUAGAAGUUAUUACUUACCUUACUUGGCCUUCAAGGAAUAUUGUAUUAUAAAUAUGGCCUUCUACAAGGAGAAGAAUACACAGAAAAUUCUCACCACAAUUACUCUUUCAUAAUUUUAGCAUUAUUUCAUUCAUAAGUUUCACAUCACCACACAUGAAAUGCACUCCAGUUACCAAAAGUCGGUAUUUGGGACCUCCCAACUUGGACUUGGUCGCUCAAUUCGUGCUUUUGGCCACAAUCCCAAUCCAAACCUUGUCAACUCCAUGUCCAAAGGUCACUAAAAAAUAAUCAUAAUUUUAAAAAAUUCAUCAAAAAAUAUUACGAAUUUUUUGUCAUUCCUGCUUUAACUUUACCUUUUGUUUUCAAAUGUUGACCCGACCCAACCCAACUCUCAAUGCCCGAAGGGUUCUAUCGUGUAGUUAAGAGUUGGGUUUUCCAAGGUGGGUCUAUAUUGAUUCGCACAGCUUUGCGGUAUAUCUGUGGGUAAGAUACUGAUCUCAAAGUAGUAAAGGCUGAACUAAAAGGCUAAAUGGGAAAAGGAAUACUUUCUUUUCUCUUCCUCAAGAAACAUACAUCCUCACCACAAGAGAGGGAGAGUUGCUUGGUAUUUUGUUAAAUAAAAUAAAAUAAUUAAUAAUUGAAAAUCGAAAAUGUUUGAAAAGGAUAUUGGGAAUAAAGAGAGAAGAUGCGGGUGUGCGUAAAAUAACAAUAAAAGAAAAUCAUAUCUUUAAAAUAACAAUAAAAGAAAAUCAAAUAAAAAAUCAACAAAAAAAAAAAGAAAAAUUAAGUUUUAGGGAGUAGAAAUCGGGAUGGAGGGGGGAGACAGAGUUUUUUUUAAAAAUUUUAUUCAUAUUUUAAUCAAUUUUGAUAUUGUUGAGGCCCAAAAAAGUUACGGGAAACCCAAAGACAUUUAAAGCCCAAUAUAACAUAUAAUGUCAGUCAUGUGUUAAUCCAAGCUGUAAUUUGGAUUUAAUUCAUUAAAUAAAUAUAGAAAUAGUGUACAUGUCAUGUCAAACUAAUAAUACAUUUUUCCCAUGCCAAUCACCUAUCAAGCUCACAUGAACCCAAGUCAUGUGGUUUACGGGGCUUGCACGAGGGAUUGUGGUGUGGAAGGUUACGGAGGUCCACAAGGCCCACGGAAGCUCUUGGAUAAUGGAGACUUUGGGCUAGCUACUUGGGAGCACCAAAGUCCAAGCCCAUUACUUAGAGUUCUCCAAUGUUGGUGAGCAAAUUGUACAUUUUUCAAGCACUUCCCUUUACCCAUAGGAAAUAGUCAUUUUCCAAAUACCUAGCUUUACCGGUUGGAAAUAAGCCUUUUCCAGCACUUCCUAUUACCCACUGGAAACAAGUAGUUUCCAGUGCUUCCUUUUACCAAUAGGAAAUAAUCAAUUUAUGGUACCUAGCUUUACCUGCUAGAAAAUAGCAUGACCUAGUGCUCCUUUUUAACCAUUAGAAAUAGGUUGGUUUCAGUACCUCCCUUUACCUAUUGGAAAUAAAGGAAAACUCUCACCCUCUAUAAAUUGGCAUUCAUGGCUCAAGCAAAAGGCACCAAUUUUUUUUCAACCAACACUCCCUCACUCGGCUGCUGCAAGCAUCCCAGCAGCCACUAACCCCCAUAAAGCAUCACCUAGCUCCAAGUUUUUCCUUCCUUCCAAGCUUUAAACAUCAUAGCCUUCAAACCUCAAGCUUUUCCUUCCAUCCUCCUCCUCUUGAAACUCUUAGAUCCCCAUAGCCAUAGCCACACACAACAAAUUAUCAACACCAAACUCAAACAUAUCUAACACCAAGCCAAGCACAUGCAUUCUCAUUUGCUAAACUUGUGGGUCUUUAGCUCCCACACUCCAAGCUUUCAUGCCAAGCUCACAUAAUCUCAUACCAACAUCAGCAAGUCAUCUUCAACUCUUCGUCGAGCUGCCGAAAACAUCAACACAAAACACGCAGCUGCUAGAAGAAGAACAAAGUACUCUCCCAGGACUUGCUUCUCCCUCGGGAUAUUUUGGGCCUAGUUCUCGCUAGCUCAGACAAAGGGGCAACGAAGUCUUCAUUCAUCACUCUAUGGCAAUCCAAGAAUCAACAAAGCCCGAAUGAGCCUUCGGACGAAAAAGACCCCAACAUAAAUGGUGACUCUGCUGGGGACUAGGCUAUUACUCUUACAAUGGCUUCUCCACAUAAGAUUUAAGUCACGUCGAUGCAAUAUACCAAAGAUAAGAGUGUUUUCUCCUUUGUUUCUUUUUUCUUAGCUCUGUAGAGCAACCCAAAAAAAAAAAUGUUGGUAACAUUAUCUCUUUCUCUGUUUCUUAGAUCUAUGUUCUCAAGCUAAAUGAAAUUUUGUGAAAUGACCCCUGGGGUUGAGGCAAAUCAAGCAUUCGUGCCACUGAGGUACCGGAGACACCAAAGCAAACUCCACAACCGUCCUCAAAUUCAAUUGACUUAGGGGCUUCAUGCCAAGAAAAUUUGAUGCCAAAAUCAAAGAAAAAGUUUUCAAACUUGAGAGAAACAGAGCAUACAAAGUAGAGAAGAGAAAUAAAAACUUGAGCAGAAGAAGGUUGAGCUCAACAUCCAUUCACAGCCUGGGGGCUUUAGCCAACAUGCAAGCCGUUGACCACCAUCGUCAACUAUUGAGGCUAGCCCCGUCGUUCACCUUCCACCGUGAAACAUCAUCAGCAAAUCUAGCCAUCGCCGUAAGUCACCUUCGUAGCAGCCCUCACCUCUCUAGAGUUGUGCAAACACGAUGAGAAAGGGAGAAGGAACACUUGCUCAAUGCUCUCAGCCUCAUCUCUGCGAAUGGCUUCACCAAGAUAAGAUUUUGUUGUCUCAUUAAUCUCAAUAUAUCAUAUAUAUUUGUUUACUGUUUUAAUAUAUUCAUAACAUUUAUGUUUCAUUGAAUUGUCUUAAGCAUAGACAAAAGCACGUGGGUUGGUCUACCCAAGUCAAAAAGAUUGAUUGAUUAGUUAUUAUUAUACUCUGAUGCAUUAUAUGGUGCACCAGCUUGCAUCAUUUUCUUAUUAUUUAUUGAUCCACUACUAUUAUUUUACUUGUCACUUGCAUUAUUAUAUUGUAUCAUUAUCUUGUUUAGUGUGUGAGUCAAAUAAGUCACACCACCUUUUUGACUAACACAUGCUAUUCUAUUAGCCUACUUAUGGCUAUGGGUUAUAUUAUUUAUGUGGAGCAUGUGAUUAUUUGCUCCAUAAAGUUUGUAGAAGUUACACACUGUCAAAAACACAUUAUCACAUAUUUUGGUUAUUACUUUAACCAAGUCUUAAUCAUAUAUAUCUUUUUUUUUUAAAGAGCUUCAUCUUUGCAAUCCAAGCUUAAUUCAUUUGCACUGUUAAUCUGGAUUAAUAUAUCAUUCAAAUGGAUUGAUCCAUCCUUCAAGUGGAGUAAUCCAUAUUUAAUAUGUAUUAAUCUACCUUUUUAAUUUUGCAUCUCCAGCAAAAUUUCUCAGGGCCUUAUUCCAUGCACUAUUCACUUAUCUUGUACUUCUUAUCAUUUCGUAUUGAUCCACCUUUGUGUUGAUCAAUCCAUGUUACACAUUGUAAUGUAGAUGCCAACUAUGCAUGCUCAGGACUAGAACAAUACAUGCUCGGCAUGCUUAUGUCAACUAUGUUAGUCAUUUGCAAGCUACAAUGCUUAUAUUAUUUUUGUAAUCAUCGUAUGCUUUGGUCAUGCAGCAUUAUAUCAGUCAAGUGUAAAGGACCCAACCUCCAAACAGCAAACAACUCAUGCUCUUUCCAAGACUAGUGCCUCGGUCCUAUGUCUACACAAGCAAGCUAAAACCAAUAUUAAAAAAAAUAUCCAAGGAGGCAAUGCACACAGCUCCUAAUAUCUCCGAGAGCAGCUUUUCCAUACUCCCACAAGCUCCUUCAAUACACUCUAUAUCAAUACAUUUGUUUGUGGGUCAACCCACAUGGGCAUGCAAAACAUAUUAGGCAAGCAAAACAUAUUAGGCAAGCAAAACCAUGCCAAGUAUUUUAUUUACAGGCCUAGCAUUUUAAUCGAGCAAAAUAUCAAAUAGAUAACAUGCCAUAACAUACCAGGCAAAAUUGUCAAAUCAACAAGCCAUCACAAUAGCAAGGGACCCCCUAUUUUAGUUGUCUCCUACUUGGAUAAAGAAUCUGAGCUGUUGGACAAGAUAUUCAUAUCCACCAACAUGUGUGAAGACAUAGAGGCUGUUUCUUUUAUGCUCUCAUGUACUGGAUGUAGAGGAGCUGGUCUCAAGAGAAAUCAUGCCAAGAAGAAACAAUCCAUCUCCAAAACCAUGCAACUCAAGAUUUCACUUAUUGCAAUCACCAUCAGCAGCAACUCCAAAACCACAAAUGAGCUUAAAAUCCAUUAUUACCAAAACCACUAUCCCAAGAUCAAAAAUCUCCUUGAAAUUCCAAUUAUGUCACUAUGACCUCCAAGUUUGCCACCACUUGCAAGAACUCAAGCUGUUGUAACCCAACACAUUUGCUGCAGUGAUCACAUGCAAAGCUCAAGCUUCAAUAGCCAAGCCCAAGCUUUUGGUUCCUAAAAACAUGCUUACAACAGCUGCAACAAACAAUACCUAAGUCACCAUAAGUGAUAUGCCCCAGCGCCUCAAGCACUUUCUAUGCCCUGACAAUUCUAAUGACCAAGUUUAAGAGUCAAACCAAAAGGCCAUUGUGAUGUCUCAAUUGCCACAAUUCCAUAAUCAAUCAUCACCAAGCCUCAAGCCUUAUUCAAGAAAUCCAAGCACUAUUCUUUACUCAAGAAGAAAAACAUCUCAGUUCGUGGCAAAUAGAAGGAAAAUACUAUGAAGGUACCGGAAGAACCUAAACACUGUCAAGAUGAAGUUUCUUUUACCAAGCAAUCAAAAUUUUUGAAGUGAUGUCAAGCUAUCAAGAAAAAGAGUAAAGUCACUAUGCAACACAACAACCAAAAUAUGCUUGCAGUAACCAAGAUUCAAGCCAAGAAAGACGUGGAAGAUAAUGAUGCGUUGUAUGAAAUGCUCCUGGAAGAUAACACAAGCCCUAUAGUCAUGCUGCCAGAAGAGUGAACCAUCAUGCCACCAAAUUUGAAAGAGGAGCCCUAGAUCUGAGUACUGGAAGGCAGCGCAGUGGACUCCAAAACUAAGAUCUAGUCCAAGUGACUUAAGGCCUCCACAUUGCAAUGCUUAUUUGCCAACACUUAUACCGCUUUCAAGCUACUGCAGACACUAUCAUGCUCAAAUCCUUAAGCAUCUCCCAUUAUAUUUUCAUCUUCUAAUCUACCAAAGCCCUCAUGCUAGACCAAGCUAUAUCUUGAUUCAACUCCACCCACUUGCUCUUUACAGCAGACCAGGCCCAUCUGUAGCUGCUAGAACAAAAAAGCCCCAACAUAAAUGACAAAACCCAAACACUAAAGCACAUCCACCAUGCUAAAUAGCCCAAACGCUAUAUUAAACCACGACACUUUAGCCAAUGCCCAGCAUCCAAGCAUACAAGCCAAAGCUUAGCGUACAAGCCAAUACUAAGCAUAUAGGCCAAUGCCAAGCGUACAUGCCAAAGCUUAGCGUACAAGCCAAUACUAAGCAUACACGCCAAUGCCAAGCGUACACGCCAAUGCCAAGCAUCCAAGCCAAUACCAAGCGUACUAGCCAAAGCCAAGCAUACAAGCCAAUGCCAAGCAUACAAGCCAAUGCCACGCAUAUACGCCAAUGCCAAGCAUCCAAGCCAAUACCAAGUAUACAAGCCAAAGCCAAGCGUACAAGCCAAUACCAAGCAUAUAUAAGCCCAAGAUCAAGCGUACAUGCCAAUACCAAGCAUCCAAAUCAAAUAGUAAGAAUACAUGUCAACAUCAAGCAUACAUGCCAAUACCAAAUAUACACAUAAAAACCAAGCAAGCAAGCACGGAUGUUUCAUGCAUAUUGAAGAACCAGCCAUGCCAUGCCACUGCCAAUUAUUUUGGGCUGAAAUUGAUUAUUGGGCCCAUCUCGCUGCCACUUCAUAGCCCCAAUAAUCAAGGGGGCUAAUGUUGAGGCCCAAAAAAGUUACGGGAAGCCCAAAGACAUUCAAAGCCUAAUAUAACAUAUAAUGUCAGUCAUGCGUUAAUCCAAGCUGUAAUUUGGAUUUAAUUCAUUAAAUAAAUAUAGAAAUAGUGUACAUGCCAUGCCAAACUAAUAAUACAUUUUUCCCAUACCAAUCACCUAUCAAGCUCACAUGAACCCAAGUUAUGUGGUUUACGGGGCUUGCAUGAGGGAUUGUGGUGUGAAACGUUACGGAGGUCUACAAGGUCCACGGAAGCUCUUGGAUAAUGGAGACUUUGGGCUAGCUAUUUGGGAGCACCAAAGUCCAAGCCCAUUACUUAGAGUUCUCCAAUGUGGGUGAGCAAAUGAGACAUUUUUUAAGCACUUCCUUUUACCCAUAGGAAAUAGUCAUUUUUCAAAUACCUAGCUUUACCCGUUGGAAACAAGCCUUUUCCAGCACUUCCUAUUACCCACUGGAAACAAGCAGUUUCCAGUGCUUCCUUUUACCAAUAGGAAAUAAUCAGUUUAUGGUACCUAGCUUUACCUGCUGGAAAAUAGCAUGCCCUAAUGCUCCCUUUUAACCAUUAGAAAUAGGUUGGUUCCAAUACCUCCCUUUACCUAUUGGAAAUAAAGGAAAACCCUCACCCUCUAUAAAUUGGCACUCAUAGCUCAAGCAAAAGGCACCAAUUUUUCUUCAGCCAACACUUCCUCACUCGGCUGCUGCAAGCAUCCUAGCAGCAAUCAACCCUCAUAAAGCAUCACCUAGCUCCAAGCUUUUCCUUCCUUCCAAGCUUUAAACACCAUAGCCUUCAAACCUCAAGCUUUUCCUUCGAUCCUCCUUCUCUUGAAGCUCUUAAAUCCCCAUAGUCAUAGCCACACACAACAAAUUAUCAACACCAAACUCAAACAUAUCCAACACCAAGCCAAGCACAUGCAUUCUCAUUUGCUAAACUUGUGGGUCUUUAGCUCUCACACUCCAAGCUCUCAUGCCAAGCUCACAUAAUCUCAUACCAACAUCAGCAAGUCAUCUUCAAUUCUUCGUCGAGCUGCCGAAAACAUCAAAACAAAACACGUAGCCAUGGAAGAAGAACAAAGUACUCUCCCAGGACUUGCUUCUCUCUCGGGAUACUUUGGGCCUAUUUCUCGCUAACUCAGACAAAGGGGCAACGAAGUCUUCAUUCAUCACUCUAUGGCGAUCUAAGAAUCAACAAAGCCCGGAUGAGCCUUCGGACAAAAAAGGCCCCAACAGAUAUAAAAAUACCAUUUAUGCCCCUGCAGUUAACAGAAAAGUUAACAAAAUUAACGGCAGGACCAUUUGUCCUAACGAAACUGAAGUUGAAGAACUACGGGAACCAUUUUGAAAAUUAAGGUACUCAAAUGCAAAUCGGGUCUAAGUUCAGGAACUAAUAAAACAAUUAACCUUUGAGUUUAUAAUGCCUCGAGAGUAUAUAGGAAGAGGACACUCCAACUAGCAGCUAUGGGUGUUUUUUUUUUUUUUUUUUUUUCCUCUAAAACCCCCAGUGCAAACAUGGGAUGUUCAUUUAUAAGGGAGUUGAUUUCUCCACUCUCAUUUUUUCCACUUAUAUCUGGGUGUCUCACUUGUCAUGUCAGUAAGGGUAAAAUAGGAAAGGGAAUGAACAAAAAAGAACCAAAUUAAUGAAAAAUAUUGAAAAAAUAAAAGGGAGUGUAAAUGGAGAAAACGGGAGUGGGGAAAUCAGCUCCCAUUUAUAAUACUAAUGCUAUAUUGGGCAUUAGAUAAUCAAGGGAGAAACAAAUGUGUGGAACAUGUAUCUCAUUGUUUUGCUAUAUAUGGCCAAUGGCAGUAUUUCAUGCGUAAUAACAUUUCCACUUGACUUAGCAUACCAUGAUUGGUCGGAGCUAGCAAAAAAGUGUUAUCCUGUUUAACACAGUCGGGGGCUAUGUGGGCUUAUUAUAGUAGAGAUAUUGCGAAGAAAUGUAAGAAACUGCAACUGAAUUAACACUUUCUAUAACCACCAAAUGAAAAUUAUCAACUAAAAUUUUACAUAUCGUGGGAUAAGUUAUUGUACAAUAAUUGGAGGCAUGUACAAGGACCAGAAUCCCAUAAAAUAGCCGAGAAACCUGCCACGAAAAAAAAUAGUAAAAUAAAAUGGGUAUAGCUAAACAUCAUGGCCUCCACAUCCAUGCGGUCCAUUGAAUCUGAAGCAAACUUCCAGCUUAAGGCAUCCACUUGUUUCGGUUAUGCAAGUGGAUUAAGAAUUGGAUUGAUUGUUGAUGAUGAUAUCACAACAAAAAAAUUAGGCAGGUACCAUUAUUCCAAGACUUCAGUUGGCCAAAGUCUCUUCCAUGUGGAAAUCUCUUCCUUGGUUCUAAGCUUCCUUAUGCCCCCGUAAAACCCAUCUGCCUCAUUUCCCUCCUCUCGAUGGUCUCUUCUGCUGAUGUUUGUGCAUCUCCACCGUGAUCCAUGCGUGUACUGGUUGAACUCCAGCACCACAGUGUCUGUUUAACAAUCACAGAUGAUCACCGUGUUAAUUUUUAAUGCAAUAGUUUCCAAUCUAAGAGCUCAAGAAAAACUUUCCGUCUUGUAUAUUGCUCAUUUCAUCCGAACUCAAAGCAGUGAUAAAAAUCUAUAAAAGAAAUAUUUCAGGAUCUGUAAUUGUUUCUGUAAAUCUAUAAUCAAACAAUUUUCCAAUUGCUGUGUUUAGCAAAACCAAUUUAAUGGGUUCUCCAAGCACUCCAAAAUAUUUGGUUUAGGAAACAAAAUGAAUUGAAACCCUGCGGAAACAAAUAAUUACAGUGCUACUUUCUGUCAUUCAUAAAGUAGUUUGAAAUUCUUAUUAUUAAUAUUAUUAUUAUAUGACUAUAUAUGAUGACCAACGUCGUCAUUAUCAUGAUUGAUUAUCAUAUAUAAAUGUGAAUGUCUGUUUGUGGUGAGAAGAGGACACAAAUCUCUUACAAUAUUGCUUGGCUGGUGGGGUGUGAUGGAGAGAUUAAAAAAAAUUGGAAAGCCAAAGAAGGAUGAGCAUGGCAGCCCCACAAAGCAUUAAGAUUCCCAACUUUGCAAAAAACAGAGACUCCAGGGAAGAUUGAGUUCUUUCAUUGUGGUUGGCCAUAAAUAUUCUUCCCAGACAAAUUUAUCACAAUGUUGGUGGAAAUUAUAACAUAAUGACAAUGAUAUGUCUCGGGGACAAAUCAAACAGCACAAAAACUGGUCCACCUAUUAAAAUAUUGGGUAUCAGAAAAGGGAGGAGGCGAAGACUAGUAGUGUCUAUUCUGUGAAAGCUAACUUUGCAUUCUUAUUAUCCACAACUUAGAGAUAUCAAUGGCUUCUUGCAAGAACCUCAAUUCUUUAUGAACUUUCUGCCCUAAAAUGCUUUAUCUAAUUGCUGAGACAAUGGUGAAAGAAAAAAAAAAUUAUUGUUGGAAUCUUAGCAUAAUAAUAUUUUCCAGCCAAAAUCAGUUGUUAGAUUCUCCAACAGCAAAAUCUCUUUUCGCAAUCACAUACUAGUCAAUCCUACAGAGCAUAAGAUCCUACUUUGAGGGUUGGAAAGGAAUGAAUUCAACUCACCACUAUUAUGACAAAGGCAGUAAUUUUCAUGUCCAUCACAUGAUUCUAGGUGACCCACAACACCAUACCACCAACCUGCAAUACAUACAGAAAAUCCUAUCAAGCAAUGGACAAUGGGAAAUUAAUUAAUUUCACCUUUUAUUUAAGUUUCUGCAUAUUAAACGAAUCUAAUGUCUUUCAAUUAGGUUGAACAAGCAAAUCGAACCAAAAGUCGUAUCUGUAUAUAGUAUCAGUUAUAUACUGUUCAAGUUCCAAUUGCCAAGUAUUAGAUGCCACCAAGCAAAAUUCAAUAGACCUUCUAUAUACAAAUUAGGUUGAACUGCCUUUAUUUUAAUUUUUUUUUUUAAGGAAACGUUGGAAAAACAUAUUUGUAGACAUUGCAGAAGCAUUUAAUCUUCAAGUUUCUUCCUAAAGUAACAAACCAAAAGGAACUCUAGAUUACUUAAAUGAGCAGUAAUGGGAUUUAGAAUAAUUUGAAAGGGAAGUUGGACGAAUAACAAACCAUAAGGAAAUUCUUUGUUUCUUCUCCACUGUAUCUCAAUAUGAUCACCAGGCUGUAACUCAUUCAAACAGUCAGACAUAUGAAGAUCAUGAGCGGGAGUCUCGAUUGGUGGUGCUCUAAGCCUUUCCCAAGGCACACCGUUUUCAAUUGCAACUGCUCGCCUUCCAUGUGGUGGGUACCUGAACAGAAAACCCACCUCAAGUUAGAUCAUCCACAUCGACUUACCAUAAGCAAUAAGAAACAGUCAUAAAUGCAAAAUCCCAACAACAUACAUAAGCAAUAAGAAACAGUUAUAAACAUAGAGGGAGACCAACUGUCCAACUACCUGGCUUGGAAGGUGUCAGUGCGAGGAUCAUAGCUAAUUUCAGCAUCAUAGCAUGACAACAUAAAUCCAACAUGUCCAUUCUGCAAUACAAGAAAAAAAAAACAUAUAUAACAUGUAAUUUAGGGAACAGAACAGAAUCAACAGUUUUUAAUAAAUAUUGCAAACUCAUAGAUAGAUUACCUCGCGGUUAUAUACUUGAGCUGGGAACCAGAACCUGCCAGUCUCAAGAGCAAGGUACCAAGACAUGACGGAAUCAGCUGGCAAAGAACACCUCUGCUGGCUAUGAUCAUCAACCCUGGAUCUAAUCCAUGAGAAAGGCCAACCAAGAGAUAGAAUUCUCAUGAGACCCUUUUGCUUGCCCUGCUUGACAUCAACCAAAUCGGUUUUGGAAGCAAUAUGCCACUGCCACUCCCUGUAGGCAGCAGGGCCAAUAACACUGCCCCAUUUCUGUUUCAUGUGCUUCUCCCAAAGGUGAUCGCUCCUGCAUCUCUCCCUCAAAGAAGUACAAACCCCCGUCAUUCGAAAAAGCGCGUCGGGAGGAAGCCUCUCGAGUAUGCAUUCCAAGACCAGUUCUGGCAAGUCCAACACAGACAGCUCUGAUGUGUCUUCUUCUUCAACAUUCUCAACUUUAGCAGAAAGAGACAGAGGCUUCCUCUUGAGGGACAUUUUGGAAGGAAAUGGAGAAAGAAAGAAAAUUGAAAAGCUCUUCUUUGUCAACUUGGAUAUGGUAAAGAAUGAUAAUUCUUUCCAAAACCAGGGGGACAACAAGCGCAUCUCACAAGCCCAUGGUGGGAGAGGCUUGAGAGGAAGAGUCUUGAAAAAGAGAAAGGAGAGGCAAGUAAUGAACAAGUAAAGUAGCAUUACAAAAGGGGAAUUCUCCUCUUAAGGGUCAAAUUCAAGUUUGGCAUAAAUGAUGAGGGACCAAUUAUGGAAAAGCAAUGGUAAAAUGCUAAAUGGAGCAAAACUUGAAUUGUCUUCACUUUCAAUUGUUCCUCCUCCUCACCCUCUCUCCUAAAAAUUGUAAAAGCAAAAGUGGGAUCUUUAAUAACCCCUUUCAACUGAUGGGUUUUUAUUGGUUCCGACGAAGCCCACCAAAACCCAACGGUGGGCCUCCUCUUCCAAAAAAGUAAUCAAACUAUAAUUGGUGAUGACUGUAGACACCCUCUUACCGAAAGAAAAAAACCAACUUUGGUGGGAGCUCACCUUCAAGCCAAUCUAGAACCAAAAGGAAGCCAAAUACUUUGCUCCCUGCCUCUCUCUCCUUCAAUCAAACAUGAAAAUGCUUAACUUUCCUUCCUUUAAACUAUAAGGACCCCAGCCGUACAGACAGCUUCAACAGCUGUCAAUCAAGGAGAGGAUGAAAGAGAGAUAAAAAGACUAAACCCAAGAAGCUAAUGGGGGUGGGGCACUCAGAUCUGAUAUGGGCUUUCUGACACCUGGAGCUCCCAAGAAAAAUAAAAGAUUAAGAUAAGUCUAGAUGCAGAGACCCAUAUCUCCAAAAUCUAUGAUUCUCUUUCGGAGCAAAGGCGAAGAAAAUCUGGAGAAAAUAAUAAUGAGCUGCAAAGCAGAUCUGGGUAGUUGAGAUUGAAACAAAAUUAGGUGAAACGCAACACCCAAAUGAUCAAUUAAAUAAAAGAAAUGAGUCCAAAUUAAAGGUAAAGACAGAAGGAGAUCAGGAGGCGGUGAAGUGAAAGAUAACAGAGAUUUUGAUGAAGAAGGUGAUGAACUUGAGAAUUGUGAAUUAUUCACAUUAGUUCAACAGAUUCUUCAUCAAAGAAUCCUCCCCCACCCACGGUCCUCUCAACGACCCUCUCUCUCUCUUUAUUUUUUCUCUGUCCCUCUGUUUGUGUCUCUCUCUCGGGCAAAUCAACGAACAGGUAGUGGACAAGAAGAAAAAAGAAGAAAAACAAAACGGACAGUCUUAUAUAAUUGACUGAAUUGGAGGCCAUGCUUAAAUAGUUUUUGGAGGCUUUUUGAUUGUGUGGAUAUUAAACAAAGUAUUACCCUUCAAAAAUGCAAAUACAACACUGCCUCUCUCUUUCUCUGUCUAAAGAUUUUCUCUUUCUUUCCCUUCCUCUCUCUACCAAGUUGGACUUGGAGGAAAAUACGUAUAACCAGAAAAGGCAACCGUUAGGGUGACGUUUAUUGGUGGUUAAGAGAUCCUGUUCUCAUGCAGCCUCCACCACUUGCAGCCAUAACGGUAACCAAUGGUCAGCAACACGUAAAAUCCGCUUCAUCCAUUUAUGGACUACUUGCAGAACUAAAUAACAAAAUGAUUUUUUUUUUUUUUUGGUUUCUGAGUAGAAGCGAUUUUACAAAUAUUCAUUGGGUGCAUAGAGAUUUCGAAUCUCUAAUCACAUGAAUGAAGGUGAAAGAGCUCAACUAACUGAGCUAUAUCCCACUAACAACAAAUGAUAAUUCAAUACUAUUGCCAAAAAAAAAAAAAAAGAUUAAAAAAACGCAAAUCAUUCAAAAGUUUUCAUGCUUUAUAUGGAGUUCAAUUUUCCUGUUUCCAUUUCUCCUGUUCCCAACCUGUUUCCUUCUUACUUUGUUGACAUGUGUCCUCUAACUUAACAGAAGGUAAGUUUCAUUUUUACUAACAAAAUAUUAAAUGUUAAAAUAAAUUUAUUCAAAAGCACGGCCACUUCAUCUUCUCCGUCCCAGGCAGCGAUGGCAGCAUAUCCAAAUCCACAACUAUGCCUUCAUCUUUUAUGGUCCAUUCAUUGCAACAAACAUGCCCUCUCUCUCUCUCUCUCUCUCUCUCUGUGCACCGCCACACCAGAUCCAGACCCUCACCACGUCCUCUGCCUUGACAUUCCCGGGGUGGAGGGAUAUCCGAUUCUUUAAGUCAAAGAAAACUCUUGUUUUUUCAUGUGUGAGUGAGGAUUGAAACUUGAAGGAAGUUGUUCUUCGCAUGUCCCACAAUAUUCUUCAUGGCCCGGCUAUUCCCAAAUCAAUGCAAUCCAAAGACAACAACGCCUCCAUGAUUGCAUCUAUAAAAAUAAAAAGGGAUUGUCGCCACUGGGGUGGGGAGGUUGUGGUGGGUGGCAGUUGAGGUCCAGUGGGUGGCUGCUGCGUUUUAUCUUUUACUUCAAUUUUGAGUUUUUUUAUUUAUAAAUAAUUUGAUUCAAAGUUAACAGUGUUUUGUGGCAUGUUAAGUGAGGACACUUAACAGAGUUCACCUUCUGUUAAGUUAGAGGACACAUGUCAACAAAGUAAGAAGGAAACAGGUGGGAACAUGAGAAAUGGAAACAGGAAAAUUGAACUCCUUUAUAUGUGGGAUUGUGGACACUGUGGACCUACAUAGGCGCAAGAAGAUAUAGCUACACAUCCCCUCGCCGUAGAAAGCGUUUCAGAUGCCUGAAAGUUGCCCCUCCGCUUAGUUUGGUUGUGCACUCCAUCUGUUCGACAAAAGGCCUAAUAGACUUCUUUCCUUUGAUGUGCAGUGCUUUGUGCAUAGUGUGCACUUAUGUUUUGUUUUUACUCCUAGCCCGAAAUGACGUUGUUUUGGACCAAGAGAUUAAAAAAAGAAAAAGAAAGUCUCACUUUUUUGAGAGAUUCUUUAUGUUCCCACCAAAACAAAUCCUUACAAAAAAAAAAAAGAUCAUUAAAUUCAUCUUUUUUCUACAUCUCCACCGCCAAUCUAUUUAUUUUCUUUUUUUAUUCAUUAGAGAACUCCUAGUCUUUUAUAGAAACUGAUUCAUCGAUCAAGUCUUGUGACAAGGAAGAAAAUAUUAUACCGAUCAAGUUUCCAAAGUAAGUUCGAAUGUAAUUCAUAGUUAAUCUAGAAAGAAAAAAAAGAUGAAACAUGCUGCCCUUUUUUUUUGCUUCUUCAUCAACCGUCGAGCGAGUUUCGUUUUCGACAUAUGAAUGACAUUGGUAUUGUUUGAUUUAUAAGGCUAUUUGGUUGUCAAUUUUUUUUAAAGCUUUUAGCCUUUCAAAAUUGCACCUCCAUUGAAAAAUUCUUGGGUUCGCCAGUAAUUGUGAAUAUACUAUACAUGAGUGGAUACAAUUGGCUAGCUUGCAACAGCUAUAAUGGCUAGGUUUCUUUUCUCUUUUUCUUUUUCGAUCAAACAAAUCUUCAUAAAAUUUGUCUAUAAAUAUCCAACAAAGUUCAUAAAACAACAUGCAUAUACACUAAAAAAUAAAAAAUAAAAAACUUUUUCCGAGGGCCAAACAGCAUUGGAAAUAUUCAUUAAUAUUUUUCAGAGCGCAAAUGUUCGUCGGAAGGCAUCAAAAAAGCAAUCAUCGAAAAAGGUCCAUUUUCGAUGAGCCAUCAGGAAGGAAAAAAAAAAAAAAAAGGUUUUCCCAACGGGUAAUGGGCGUCGUAAAUACUUUAACUUUGUCAAAAAUAAAUUUUCAAAACGACGACAUUUUUGUAUUUGCGAUAUGCUAACGUUGUCGCAAAUAAUUGGGAAGCUUUGUCGGAAAUGUUUUCUUAAAUGAUGAACUUUUGUUUUUUCUAACAAUGUUUUACCACAAAGAAAUGUAAUUGGAAACAUUAUUUUCGACUAACCCAUGUAUUUCCGACAAUGUCAGUUCAUCUGAAAAAUGACAUUCUUGAUAAUACAAUCCAUCGAAAAAACAUAUUUUUGAUGAAAGUACAUCUUCGGAAAAUGUUAUUUACGACAACACAAAACUAUGCAAAAUAGGCAAAGGUGUCAUCGGAACUAUGCAAUUAUGAAUAUUUAUAAAUAAUAAAAAAAGAAAAAAAAAAGUAGCGUAGUAUAUACUCAAAAUUCUCAUAAAUGGAGCAUAAUUUGUCAAAAAUAUAAAAAUAAUAUUUCCGAUCGAACAUCUGAAAAUAUUUUCUAAGUAUGACAAUACUAAAUAAAACAUUUCUUUGGAGAACAAUACAAAAUUAAGCAUUUCUUUAGAGAAUAGUACACAAUAAAAAUAAAAACUCAACUUUGUUCAUAGACAAAUCAAAACAUUCUAUCACAUACACUCUUAUUUUUUUGAUCCAAUGAUUUCCAUUAAUUCAGAUAUGUGGAAUCAUGAUUUUAGAUCUCCAUAAUCGAAGGUUAUGUCAUAAGGAGUCUAUAGCAAUUUUUGGUUUAUUUUUCUUAUUUUUAUUUAAUUUCUUAUGAAUUGUUUAAGAUAAAAGACAAUAAAUAAAAAGAAAAAGGACACCUUUCACCAUCUUAUACAGCCAAAUGUCAAAAAUGCUGAGGAGAGCUUUUAAGAACUGCCACGUGUUAAUCUAUUAUAUUUCAUAUUAUUUCUCUAUGAUUUUACUUAUAAAAUUUAUAAUAAAAAAUAUUAAAAUAAAAACACAGAAAAUUCCUGAGAUAUUCUCUUCUAUUUAAAGCUCCAAAAUUAUCAUUUUGAAUUAUAAAAAUACAAAGCAAUGAUAAAAACUCAACUUUGUUCAUAGACAAAUCAAAACAUUCUAUCACAUACUGUCACAUCCCAAGAUCAGCUCUGCCGUAACACGAUAUUGUCUGCUUUGGGCCCCCCUCUCUGCCCUCACCGUUUUAUUUCUGGGAACUCACGAGCAACUUCCUAGUGGGUCACCCAUCCUGAGAUUGCUCUAGCCCCAACUCGCUUAACUUCGGAGUUCCCAUGACUCCAAAGCCAAUGAGCUCCCAAAAUGCCUCGUGCUAGAUGGAGGUGGGCAUGUACAUAUAAAGCAUAUCACUCCCUCUCCGUUGGUCGAUGUGGGAUGUUACAAUCCAACCCCUUGUUGGUAAUUUUUAACAACAAUAUUAAAACCUUGCAAGUGCACAAAUCAAAUGAUAGUAUAGUAGGCAAGCAAGGGUCAUUCCCACAGAUAUUAUAAUCUAAAGAGAUGUUUGUCAAUGUCACGCAACGAAAACUAAAACACAAGGACUUCCACACACACACCAACACCAAGAGGGGUUUUGAUUUGGUUUUGUGAAUAAAACAAAACAAGGAAAACAAAAGAAAACAAAAUUUAAAUUAGAGUUUAAGAGAAAUUGGUUUAAAAUCAGUCAAGAACAAUAGCUAGGACUCACUAUCCCAAAAACUUGUUGGUAAUUUUUAACAACAAUAUUAAAACCUUGCAAGUGCACAAAUCAAAUGAUAGUAUAGUAGGCAAGCAAGGGUCAUUCCCACAGAGAUUGUAAUCUAAAGAGAUGUUUGUCAAUGUCACGCAAUGAAAAUUAAGACACAAGGACUUCCACACACACACACCAACACCAAGGGGGGUUUUGAUUUGAUUUUGUGAAUAAAAUAAAACAAGGAAAAGAAAAGAAAACAGAAUUUAAAUUAGAGUUUAAGACAAAUUGGUUUAAAAUCAGUCAAGAACAAUAGCUAGGACUCACUAUAUACCUCCAAACAAUCAAUCAAUCCAUAAACAACAAAAGAUAAUCAAUUUCUAGCAAGCAUAUGAUGACGACACUCACAACAGGAUCAUGACAUUUGACUCGAGUUGUAUGAUAUGUAAAGUGUAUGGCAUUUACAUCAAUACGUGUAUUCUUAAUUGAAAUCUAGUAUGGCAUUUACUCAAAUUAACAAUUAAGAAUCCAUUAAGAUCAAAGAGAAUAUGAAUGUCACAAAAACCCUAAAACAUGGCAUUUGUUAUUAGGAAUUCAAGAAUCGAUUUCUCAUAACUAGUUCUUAACCCAAUUAUUCGUUGCAAACAAGAACACAUUUAAUAUGGCAAUUGACCUAUGUUCUACAACAAUUUAAUUCCAAUACAUGCUUCGAAGUUAGCUACUCAAAGAAACAAAAUAUCAGAAUUCACAUAACAUAGAGAAACCGAAAUCAUCACUCUUGUAGAAACUGAAAAAUCCAUUCAAACUUGUUUAUAUAAUUGAAAUCAUGUUUAGGGCUUCAAGAUUAAGCCCUAACUAACAAAAAAUUAGUUACUCAUGUUCUUGGAUGAACUCAAAAAUAAAUACAUAAGAACUGAAAAUUAAAAGAAGAAAGGAACAGAAAGAACUCGUUGGCAGCUUUCUCCUCUUGCACGGUUGAUCUCCUUAGGAUGUGAAUCCUCUGUAUCGGAGCCUUGGCUGGCCUUUUAUAUCACUUAUAUCAGAGUUCUAAACCCUAAAAUUGACUGAAAAGUCGUCCAAGAAGUCUUGGUAAACAAGGAAUCCAAAUAGGAAAGUAAAAAUCACAAUUCCUAACUCCAUAGGAAAAUACAGCUCAGCCCAAUUGUCACACGAUUUGGGGAUUCUCGGCCUUGUAGAAAAAUCAUUAAAAAUAUAUUUUGGAAAGAUAAAUGUCUUAUAUUUUCAACCAUAUAUAACACAUACUUGAAAAAUUCGGGAAGGCUUCCGUUUCUUCACAUACACGUAACAUGUACGAAACUGUCCUGUCUGCAUGUGGGCUAACUUUACUUGUAAUACUGUACCAAUUGGCUCGGUAGAAAAUUCUAGAAAAAUCAUAGAUUGAACUUCAAGAUGUUAGCUUUCAUCUCCUCUUGUGCUAAAAUUCCUCUGAAAAGUUGAUUUUCCCUUAAAAACCUUCUAAGAGCGCAGAAAAGCUGAAAAUUAGAAGUAAAGUAAUAAGCCCUUUUUAAAUCUAAUUCUCCUAUAAAACCUAAGUAAAAAGAGUACAUAAGUGAGUAUAUUUAUGGACUUAUCAAAUACCCACAACUUAGAUUUUGCUAGUCCUCGAGCAAAACAAAACGAAAAGUAAAAACAAAAGAACAAAGACUCAAAACAAACAAACAAUUAAAUUCCCAAUAUUGAUCUCAGAGAUAAUUACCAAUAGUUAACUAACUUCCAAGAAAUAAGAAAUAAGCAACAUUAACUCAAGACAUUAUCAAAGGGUUAACCAAACUUUAAUUGAACAACUUGGAGUGUUGUUUGUGAAAUAGCCAACAUUAAUAUAACCACGACGUAUGCUUCACAAAAGUUAAAUAACCAAAUAAGAACAAGCUUUAACUUCAAUUCUCACCAAGGAUGUUCACUCCAAUGAAAGCACUCGAAAUUUGACAACGUAGUGUCACUCAUAUAUGUGAGAAGAAUCAAAUCAAUACGAUGUACUCACAUAAUUGAAAUAAAAGCACAAGACAUGAAUAAAAGAUCUCAUGGAAAGAUAUCGCAUACUUGAAAACAUUUAAACCAUCUGACCGUAGUCCUUCCACACCUAUUCUCCACAUGAGGAACCACACUUCUCCUUGGAUCAAGUAGGACUGUCACUAAGGUUGUAAUAGGGCUUAGGGUGAUGGGUGAAACAAGAAAGAGACAUAGAUGAACAAACGAAGUCUAAGGGCUAAGUAAAGCUUUCCAUGAAAUUAUAACAUCUUGCACUUUAGCACACAAUUUUAUCUUGAUACUAUCUUGAAUUUUUUUUUUCUUUCACAUUUUUUUCUAACUCCAUUAGCUUUCUAAUCAACCCAUGUAACAAGUGUUAGGCCAAUAACUCCCAAGCUAGAUAGCUUUAGGGUAUUAAGUGUAAAACACUCCUCGGGCUUAAAAAUUCGAGUUGAAAAGGCUUCGGAAUCAGACUUUUUUUUUGUUUGUGAAAUAGUAUCAUAUACACAUGAUUGAACAAUUUGUGCAAUUCUCCCUUAGCCAUGAAAGUGCUCUACAAAACUCCUGAGAAGGGUGUAGGAUAAAAAUGCAAAAGGUUUAGGAGGAGAAUUGGGUAAAGAAUGAUAAAGGCUUACAUAAAAGGCACAAGGGGUUGACUAGGGAUAAAAUUGAUAUAGGUUGGCUGGAAAGGCUCAAACGAACGAAACAAGGCCUAUAUCACUUCCUAGGAUAUCCAUGUGGUUCAUGAAAUAUGCCUCAAAUAGAUAAUGAAAGUAGUUCUAGCAAACAAUUUAAACAUCCUCAAGUACUUGACCAAAACAAAGAAUAAUGAGAUCACAACGACUUGUAGACGAGAAAACUAAAGAAUAGUAUAUAACACUCAAGGAAGAAAGGUAUAGGCUCAAAAGCUCACAUAAUAAGGGUUGUACAAGUCUACAUUAGCCUCAUAUUAAUAUGGCUAUGUGCAAAAAUAUUUACCAAGUUUAAUAAAAAAAAAAACUAAGGCAAACACAAGGAUAAUGUAAAGAAUUAAUGUCAUGCUCACAAUUCCUUACAAGUUAAUUGUCAAAAAAAUUCAAUCUCAUCAUAGAAUUGGGAAGUGACUACUACAAACAAAUAAAAACUUAGACUCAAAGUUAAAGAAAAUAUUUUUAGGUUUUUAUGACAUUUUUUUGAUUUUUGAUUUUAUUUUAUUUAAAAGAAAAAAACUGAAAACAAAACAAAACAAUAGAAUAAAAACUAAUUAAAUAAAAACCAAAAGUUGAAAGGGAUUGAAAAUCAAUCAACAAAGCUGCAGUUCUGACCCAGGCGCAAAGAAUGACAUGUAUCUCACAAAAUACUUGCCCAAAGUUCACAUUCUUCAUAUGGUUGAAUUCAGAUUGAAAAAACAAAGAACGCAUCGUGGGCCAAAAUACAAAAACAGCAGCGGAAAAGGACAGAAUUUGAAACAAAGACAGAGGACUGCUGCAUACAUUAUGAAACCAAAGAACUCAAUCACCCACAACUUAAAACAAACAUUGUCCUCAAUGUUAAAAACAAAGAAACAUAAGUCAUGCAAAUUCAUUUAGAGAGAGAGAGAGAGAGAGAGAGAGAGAGAGAGAGAGAGAGAGAGAGGGUGUGAGAACUUCCCGGGUUUGUGUAGAUGUAUGGAUGAGCAAAGCGUAGAAUACGUCGAAAUGAGAGAGGAUAGAUAAUGAGACGAACUCAAACACCCACAACUUGUGUCUUUGAAUGCCAACGGACCCCUAAUAGCUCCUUAAUGUAACACCCCGAGUCCAAAUUUAAUUACCAAUUUAAAUUAUUUAAUUGAAAUUAUGAAUUUACCCUCCAAGUAGGGGUAAUUUGGUCAUUUCUUAUAUGGAAAGAUUUUGGGGCAACGGGUGGUAUGGUUAUGUAGAUCGUACUGAGAUGAAUCCGUAGACACGUAGUGGGCUUAAAUCGGAGUUGUAACGAAGAAGUUACGAGCAAAACAUCACAAGUGGCAAAACCGUAAAUAUUUCAAAAUGGGUUUUUAAUAAAAAAAACCUGAAAACACACAC
rnacentral:lncRNA from 1 species